rnacentral:lncRNA from 1 species
GGGGAGCAAAACCACUUUAUGAAUGUUAUGUAAGAUUUUUCUGGUGGUUUGUGUUUGUUAAGUAUGUUUCGGCAAAACGUGUAUCUUUAAGAUGCAAUUUGGGACAAGAGUUCAUAGUUAAAUAAUAUGCAGGUUCUUGAUCAAGUUUCAAGUGCAUGCUUUUGUCUCAACGUAAUAAUUUAAUCACCAAGUUCUGUCAUUAAAUCUUCAGAUAUAGGUUGAACUACCUUGAUAUGCAAAUUGCAAUUCCAGAAAGGAACAAAAAUGGCAUUUGGCACUGUUAUUUAGUGGAGUUAUUAAUUCAAUGACUGGAGAAAAAGAGUACAGUUGAAACUAAAUUUGUUUGUGGUUUUUGGUCUUGUGGUGAUUGAUCUCAAGAUACAUUUUUAAAUAGACUUAUCAAGACUUUCGCCUCCUGUAAAAUAGUACUUCGAUAUGGGCAUCUCCGUUUGCGAGAUGAAUUCUAUUUGUUAGCCGAGAAUGAAUUAGUAAAAGCAGAUUUUGAUUCACUCAAUUACAGAUCCAGGGUAAACUGAGUAAGUUUAUGUGUACUCAGAUACUAAAUGAAAUUCUAUCUACUUAAAAAAAGAAUUUUUUCAACCAAGUAUGAUAGAAUAACUAGGUUCCAAAGAAUUGCACUCUCCAUUUACAGUCACUAACCACCAAAUGGACUAGCUGACUUUUCUUUCAGUCAAGCUUCUCGAACUCAUUAAGAAAAGUGGAGACACACUUGAAGUUGCUAUCUGGCAGUGACUAACAUCUGCAUUACCAAAUCAUUCCAGGAGUCAAUUGGCCCUGGCAAGCACCAGUGUAAACAAUCAUUCUGAACUUCAGCAUUCUUAUCCUCUGCAAAUGGCUGAAACUGCCUGUACGGUCCAGGAUGCCCAUCCGGCCGCAACAACGAUAACCGUGUCGUAUCAAGUAGUUUGAAAUUCCCCCCUGUUGCAUUAUUAGCCUUCUCAAAUUCUUCCAAUUCAAUAUCUCGCAUCACUGUGUCUACAUCUCUCAUGUCAAUCUGACCUACUUUAAAGGGAACUGUUCUGUUGCAAGUUCCUCCGCUGAACCAUUCUCCAUUCUCGAAGUGAUCUGGUGUUGUCGUUCUAAAGAAAAUCCAAGGUUUGUGAUUCGACCGAACGAAAAAAUCGAAUAUCAACUGUAGGGCUUUCCGAUAUGCAUGAUCAAAUCCUAGCUCUGUCAAGUUCUUUCCAGGACAGUAAUGACACCCUGUAACGUUAUUGUUCUCAUGAUAAAUUGCAGUUUUGAGAAACCAUUUCCCACCUGCGAUUACCGCAUAAUCGAACUUGUUGUAUUGAUCGGUCCAUUUAUUAUCAAGUUGAUCUAAAUGAAGCUGGAUUUCAGAAGAUGAAACUCCAUUCAGGUCUUCAAAUAUUUCUGCCUUGAUAAGAAAUGGGGCCCAAAUUACUGAAAGAGUGAAGUUGUGACCUGGAAAGUGCCAUAUCUUUGAUUUGUAUUCUUCGUCGUGAUACACCUCAAUAGCUUCAUCCACCUGUAGUACACAACAAUUACUCUUCAUGGGACCUAAUUUUUUGAAAACUAUAAAACAGAGAACAUUGCCACAGACCAUGCAACAUAGAAUCGAUGCCAGUGGGGUCUAAAAUAAAAUUUAUCAUUUUUCUUUGUCUUCUUGUAAUAAUAAUUUAAAUUGAAACCAAAACAAGAAACUAUUACUUGAUUUUAUGUUGGUAUAAUUAGUUUUGUAUACGAACUACUAACAAUUUCCAUUUGUAGAUGAUACGAAAUGAAUUAUAUGGUUUGGACCAAUUCAACAAGAGUUAUCAAUAUUACUAUUAAAGAUUUAAAUGGCAAUUAAGAUCUUUCAAAUGUCUGGUAGGUAAACCAGAUUAGAAAAGGACAUGAGACCCUCCUAAUUAAAACCAGCUGUGUUCCACAAGAAGAUUCAGAUUGAAUGAUUAAUGAUUAAUAAACAAUUAGAAAGAUGGAAUUUAAACGUUAUCCCAAUUUUAUUCUUACUAGGAAAGAUGACUAAAUGCUUGUAAUCUUUAUUCUUUGCAAAGGAAACUUGGGUUCUACUCAAAAACUAUUCUCUAAGACUUACAGACUACACACUGGAGUUAACAAGAAAUGGCACUACACGAAUUAAUCUCAACUUAGGAAAAGAAACUUGGGGAAGGGUCAUUUAAAGUUUGAAGAUUUACCUGAGAGAGAAUGCAAAGUAAAGACUGCACAUGAUUACGAGAAAUGGAAUCACCAAUAAAAGCCCAAUACUUGUUCUUCAUGAGAUGAAGAAAUUUCUUUGGAUUGAAUCUGGGUAAAUCACACCCUUGUGGGUUCCAUCUCCAGUAAAGGUACCCUGAAUCAGGUCUUCCGUUCUUCAUACAAUUUUGGUGACUUUCAAUUUGAAGGCAGCUUUGAUUGGUGUAAAAUGGGCCUGAAGGGUCUGGUAUCCAUUCUCCACUAAACAAGUCACAUUCUUCUGCAAUUACAUUACCAAUAACAAAUUACCACCAAAACCUUAACAAGAACUACACAAUUGAAAAGAAAAGCAAAAACAACCCAUUUCAAGAAAAAAAGAAUUGGCCUCAUUCGAUUUAGUAAUUAUAUAAAUUUAUGCAUCUACUGAAUCAGAGAAAAUAAAAACUUGGAAAAAACAAAAUAUACACACCAAUAUCUGAAGUUUCGGUUGCAUUAACUGCAAAAUGAUUAGAAAGAGUGUUUUGGUUUUGAUGGACUGCAAAAUCAUUAGCAUCGAAGUCAUUUACAGGCAAAGAAAGGGCGGGCGGAGAAGACUCUGUUUCAGACUUCUGUUGAACGAGUGGCGGAGAGUCUAUGACUGAGGAGGAGGAGAAGAAUCCGAAUGAAUCAGAGACUAACAAACGAAAAGCAAAACCUAUAAGAAGAAAGGAGACUGAAAACUUUACAAAGACAUGAUUGUGUUUGGCGAGGGAAAAUGGGUGGAAUUGGAAAUCCUUCACCAUUUGGCGUCAAAAAGAGGGAAGAAAAGGAGAAGGUUAGAUAGCUAUGCAGCUAAACACAAUGGAACCGCACAGGUUUUUCUCAGCAACCAAAACGGUGUUAUAAUAUGAUAAUUUGGAUUAUUAUUAGGUGGUUAAUCAGAGUUAAGAGGGUGAGUAACUUGUGAUUUGAAUAAAAUAAUAAUAUAAAAGUCCUGUCUUAGUCCAUGUUUAAUGACCACAGGUCCUGUAAUAUAUCUUCUCUGUUUGGUUACUUGUAAUUAAGUGGGCCAGCUAUUUAUCAAAAAUAAAUAUUCCCUUCCCUGCUUUUUGUUUUUCCAUUUCCAUUUAAGAUAAUUCAUUUAUGAAAGUUACAUCAGAGAUAGAGAAGUAGGAAUGGCGAUAUUCAAUUUAAUUAAUUAAAAAUUGAGUUGGAUUUUUAAACCUAAAAUACAGAGAAAGAGUAAAACAAGAUGGAGGAAGAAGAGAGGUCUUCUCUUCUUUCAGUAUCAGGAAUGCUUAUGUCGGAAGUUGCAAAGAAGCAAUAUGGAGAUCGAAAGCACAUGCCUGUGUCCACCUUAGAUCUCAACACUCAACUUUGUUAAUCAAAAGUUGGGGAUGGCGUCACGUGGGCCCUCUCUCUCUGUACUGUGAAAAAUAAUAAAUAAAUUAAAGGGUAAGCAAAUUCUUUAUUAUUUGUUUCGCUCCUUAUGUUAUUACAUUAUGAUGUCUCCACACACUUUUUCUUCCUCGUCUUCAAUAAGACAAUAACAUUAAUUUGUAUUUAAUUUUACAUAAUUUGAUAUCUUAAAUGUAAUUUUGUCAAAUUUAAAUAUUAUUAAUUUAAUGAAAAUUAAUAUGAAAUUAAUUAUAUCCAGUAUAAAAUAUAUAAAUGAUGUGAAAUAUCACACAAUUGAGUAUGGAGUGGAAUAUUAUAUAUAAUAAUAAUGAAAUGUUGAAUUGGUGUUUGUUUUCACGUGCAUGGGGCAUAUGGGAUUAUGAUAUUUCGCAGAGCUAAAAAAAGCGAUCAUCAGACAUAAGUCAUCUAUUAAUGGAUGGAUGGAUCUCUCCUAUCUAAACUUAACACAAACAAAGUGUGUGCAUUAGAUGACAUAAAAUUUCAAUCAUAAAUACGUAUUUAGAAAGAGUAUUUUUUUUUUUUUUUUUUUUUUUUUUUACUAUUAUAAGAAAAAAAAUAGUUAAAAAAAGUAAUUAGGAGGAUGAAGCAGCAAUUGUUUAUGAUUUGACACAAAAUAAUAAGGGGAAUAAAGAUUGGCAAGGCCUUUAAGUGGGGGACCAAAUCCAUAAAUAAUUAACUAAUAAUUAGAGUAAGUAAAAGUUUUUAAUUAAGGACUUUCCAGCUAACUUAGAAUAGUACUUGUCCAAGUGCUCUUUCAAUGGAUGAGAUUGUGCCACUUUGAUGGGAGGAAAUGAAUGGAGCAUAAAAUAAAGAAAACAAAAUGCUCCACAAUGUGGGGCCUUACGUUGGCCCAAUAAGAAGGCCCGCUUAACUUUCUCAUGCAUCCUGCGGUGGCUACUGGCUAUUGGCUAACCUUGUUUCGACCUACAAAAGGAUCCUCCAAAAAUCCAAAACAACCAAAGUGCAUUGCACGUUCUACUUCUCUGUACGGGAUAGAGCAAUGAUUUGGUACACCAAUCUCUUUUGAAACUCGGACCUUCAAGAAGGAAUUGGACCCCGGAACUCAGGUUCUUUAAAAAGAAUCCAUUUUUUAGGAACUGACAAAAUCCAUUUUUGCACAGCUUACACCAGAAAAAUGUUCGAUUGUGGAAAAAAAAAAAAAAUCUGUUAAUUACAUCCACAAACGCAAAGUUUAGCAUUCAAUCACUUCAAAUUACCUACAUAAUAAUCAAUUAAAAUACAAUAUAUAUAUAUAUAUAUAUAUAUAUAUAUAUAAGAUCAAGCUUUGUAUUUAAGAGGAUACCAUCCAACGUUGCACCAUUCAUGUUCCAUAAUGCUGGAAAUACUUUCCACAUUUUCUACAUAGUUCUGUCAAGAAGGUGCUUCGAAUUCCAGUAUAGGAAUUUACCAUAUGCCAGAAGUUGAAUUAGGACUUCAUAUCUCCUGCAAUUACAUUAUGCAGCUGCUUUUGGAACUUUCAUGCCAAACCCAUGCUUUACCUUCUCAACUCUGUUCGCGAAGAAAGAUGGUUAGAGUUUUCUUCUUCCAAGCUAUUAAAUAUAUAAAUUUUUGAGAAAUUUUUAGAUGACAUGAUUGAAAAACUCCAUCCAAACCACAUUUACGGGUUCCUUAUAGAAAUUAGACACAAUAAAGACAACUAACUACAUGAUUCUAAAGCAAUUGAAAGCCAGCGUAGAAUAAAAAUGAAAAUUCAUUCCCAAGAAACUAACAAGGGAAUAGAACUGAGGCAAAUGAUCACUGAAGCAAGAAAACUUACGUUGGAGCAAGUUUGCCUAGACUAUCAAGUUCCUCGCCAGUUUCUUCAUCCAAGACUCUUCCAGAUAUCUCAACGAUGUAAGAUCUGUCUCUAUCAAUAGGAAGUCCCCUACCAGUAAGUAAAUCCAAAUCUUUUUGGUGAAGUUCUCUCCCAUUUACAAAAACACCAGUAUUCCCGCCAGCACAAUCUUCUGGCAUGGGAUAAUCAAAUUCUUCAAUAAAUGGCUGAGACAAAUUGAAAUGUUCUUCAUAAAUCUCACAUAAAUAAAAAUAUAACUAGCAAACAGUGAGCUAAUACUCUGCUUAAACUAAGUUAUCUUACAGGAAUUAUGCCAAGACAAGGCCCACCAAUGACACCCCAAAAUCCAGCUCUGGCAUCAUACCUGGUUUAUGAACAAAGCAAAAGGCAAACCAUCAAUACUACCCUUGCUGCCCUUCAUGCAUAAGGAGCAAAACUAAUGCAAUCAAAGCACAUAAGUAUCCAGUCAAUACUAUACAACUUGCGACAAAAGAAAACCAUACUCAAAACUUAUGGAAAAUAAAUGUUCAUAUCUUCAUGUGUAAGGAACUGUCUAAAACGUCUGUGAAGGAAAUGAACUAUAAUGAUAAUCUUUUAUGCAGAUCAGACACUGUUAGCUUUAAUAUUUAUUUGGAGGGGGCUGUUAAGACAAAAGGCAUGUCUAUUUUGGAGAUAACUGAUGCAUGUAAAUAUGAACUCACCAAUAUUUUCCAGGAUGGAUUGGUCCAGCCAACUUCUCCGCCUUCUUAACCAAACGAUCCGGUAUGAUAUGGCCAUUCACAGAAACAUUACUCCUACCACGCUCAUCCUGAUUCGAUCUGGAAAAAUCUUUAAAGCUCUUCUUGAUAAUGUUUGCAAAAAAUGAAUCGCUCCCCUUGUUGAUUUUCAACUGACUAUCUUCUCUAUUUGCAUCCCCAGAAUCUUGUGAGACCCCAGUAUUAGCGUACUCAUGGAACGGUACCUCUAUCUCAGUAGCCAGAGAUGCCUCUUUCAUAGAAUUUUGUCGCGCCGCACCUUUGUUUGUUAUCACCUUUUCUUGGUCUGAGCGACUACUUCGGUUCCCCUUCCCAAGUCGGUUCACCACAUUAUUAUUAGAUGAGAAAUCAAAAUGCUGUUGGAGAGGUGAACCUGCAGGUGGUGGAGAUAGACUAGCUUUAAUUGGCUCCUGAACAGAGUUGAUGACCUCUCUAGGAGCAAUUAAAGCAUCUGGACUGUUUUCAUCCUCAGAGGUGCUAAGAGAUGAAGUAUGGAAGCUAUUCAUCUCUUGAUGCUUUAUUGAAUUCAAACCCUGCCCAGUUAAAAAUGCAUUUGGUUCUGAAUCUAUCGUUUGGAAGUCAUAACCAGAAUUAUCAUAAUCAUCAGAAGAGAAAUUAGCAUUUAUCCGACUCAUCUGGCCAUGGGAGUAUGAAGUACUGUCUUUAAUUAUCUCAGUAGAGCUAUCAUUGACCUCUGUGGGAAAAUGUGUCGCUUCUGUAUUAACAGAGAGAACAAGUUUCUUGUUUACAACAGCAAAAUUGAUGACUGUAGAACAUGCACCACAUCGAAUCUUCUGCUGAUUCUUUCCCAUAAACAGUACUUUCUUGGGAACUUGCAGCAGCCCAAAGCAAUUAAAACAAGUAAAAAAUGGAGCACCUCCAGCUAUGGGAUGGCAGCAUCGACCGCCACUGGCCAAGACAACUCUCCUAGGCCGAUAACGAACAAAACCACACAUUUCAGAGUUAAGAUCACUUGGCCAUCUUGUAUAGGAUUGGGGACCACGAAAAUUCAAUGGAGGAGGAACAGUAGCCCUGGGAUCAUGAUUAUGCGGGCCAAAUGCCCCGGGGUUUUCAUGUUGGUAGAACAUGGGAUUGUUUGAAACAUCAGGGAACCUCUUGUUAGAGAAAGCUGACGGUGGAACAGGCGCUGAAACUCCGUGAUGUCUCUCGAAGCAAUGGAAACAAGAACAAGAAGGCUGGUGAAAGGUUGCAUUGGACGUGUAUGGAUCAAAUGGAUCGGGGUUAGGAUCAAAGUGAUGCCUGGAGAAGUAUUGGCGAGGUGGUUGUUUGUACUGACCAGAUAACUGAGGUGGAGCUCUUUUGAGCCCAAAUGGAUCCCCAAAUCCAGGAAUAUGAUUUGACUUGUGCAUUGAAGGAUGAAAAUUGUGCAUGGCCAUUUCAUGCCCAUUGGUACAAGGAAAUGGAUCAGGGUGAUGAUGAAAAUAAUGCGGCCUAGUUGCAUGUUUAUCAGGUGCAAGAAACUGCAUUGAAGUCCUAUCAGGCAUCGAUGAAGCACUAGGAAACCAAGUAUCAGAACCAACAUAAGGAUCUGAAGGAGCCAUCCUUCCAUUAAGAGGAAUCUUCUCCUUGGGUUUAUCAGCCACUUCAUAUGACCUGCUAAGUUGUUCCUUUAGCUCAUCUAGUUUCCUAAGAAGCUCUGCUCGAUCUUUUUCAAGGUGUUGAACUCUGUUAGGCCCAUCAUGGCUGCCAUGAUUCCUCAAAGGUUCUCCAUAACUAUAAGAAGAAUCCAAAUUAUAAUUAGAUGGUCCCUCAUCUGGGUAGUUUGAAGUUGAGAAUCUCACACCUUCAACCUCAGUUCUCAUGACUCUUCGAAACCCCUCCAUUUCAUCUCUGUCCCCAUGUUGCCAGCCUGACAUCUGCCCUGAUCUCCAAGACCUACUAGUGUGUCUGAUUUCAGAAUUCAAGUUGCCACGUUCUAUUCCCACAGCAGUGCCCAAAUUAUCUCUGCUUAUGCUCGUGUCAAGAUCACUUUCAACCACCAAUUUGCCACUCGUAGCCUUUGAUGGAUUCCUACAUUUCUCAGAAUCAACUAUAUCACUCUUAGAAUCAACUACAUCAUUCUUCUCAGGAUUCUUUUCAUCACAACUCAAAGAACCAGCAUUUGACUUAAUAUCCACCUCAGAAGCAUCACUCAACUCCACAACUCCCUUUUCAAAGGACUUCUGCAGUUCAGCCGUAACUCCAGUAACAGUAGCUUCAUCUGAUUUCUGUGAUAAAGUAUCUGUGUCCUGAUUUUUACUUUUUGCUGCAAUUUUGCAUCAACAAGAAUACUCUCAAAAUGAAGGGGAAAAAAAACAAAUAAAGAACAUGAAAUUACAUUUGUGCCAAAUAUAACAAUGAUGCUCCACCAAUGGUUGUUUCCUACAAUCAAACAGAAUAAAGAUUCAAGAAAUUGAUUUCUCAUGUUCUCCUACAUCUUAACAUUAAUUUGAUAGGGAUUAGAAAAAAUUAAAGGAUAAUCGUACAUUUCUCUAUAAAUUAUACCGUGAAACCCAUUUGAGAGUAACGAUCUUCGAAUUAAACAAUAAACACAAUUAAGAUUGCAUUAGAUUAUAAUAAAUUAUAAAAGGAGAUAACAAUUUUGAUGCCAAAGUACAAACAACCAUACAAAAGGGAAAACUAUCUCCAACCAUUUCUUUUGACUUCGGGUUAUGUAAGAAUUCGAAUAUUUCUAUUUUCACAAACCAAAAAUUUCCCAAGUUGUCAUUAAUUAACCAAACAAGGUUGCUAAUUAGAGAAAUUUGAGCAAAAAGGUACCUCGAAGAACGGCACCGCAGCCGCCACACUGAUAAACAGAGUAAUCCGCCAGCUCCGGAAGAAGAUUUUCACACUUUGGGCACCGCACCAGUCUCACUUUCGUGGAAUCCGCCAUUGUCGAAACAUUCAACUAAGACUUUAAAUUAAAAACAAUUUUUUCAACAAAACAAAGGAGGAAAAAAAACGACAGCCCAACAGAACAAGCUAAAGACUAACCCUUUAAGGUUCUUAAGGUCACGCAAAACCAAGCCCUUUUCACAUUUGCAUUAAAAAGAAAGUUCCUUUGAAGCCAUAGAACCAUAGAGCGGAAACAAAAACUAAAGGGAAUGAGAUCAAGUGAUGAUUGAAGAGCUAAAACUUAGUUUUUAUCUUAGAAAAUGAAACAAAGGUCGAAUAGAAAAGAAAAAUAAAAAAUAAAAAGAAGUAACGCCCGAGUGUGGAAAAAAGCAAUUUGUUUGAGCACCAAACGGGGAAGGGAAGAUUAAGAAGAAAAUAAUCUCGGAAGUCUGUGUAGCGAGAAACCUAGAAGUUGUGAAGUACUUUGAAAUUCUAUUCGAGGAUAGUUUUGUUUUUGUGUUCUGAGAAAUCUGAGUUUAUACUCUGUUCAAUUUUGUUCUCCAUCUAGAAAGACAGAAAGAGUAGGCAGCCCCACGGCCCCAGUCCACGGAUCAUUUUCCAAGGUUUAGCAGUGGACAAUGAACUAACAAGAAAAGGGGUAAAGCAAAACUCGACAAAUGCUAGCGUUUUAGAAAGACGAUAUGCAGAAACCGACGUCGUAUUACAAAAACUUCAUUUGUGGAAUCGGCGCUUUAAAGAUAAAAAGUUAAAGUAAAUCGGCGACUUUUUGGGGAAUUUGGCUAUGAACUCUCCGCUUUUCGCUUCAUAUCUCGCGUUUGCAUCUGAGUGGAAGAAGCAAAAAGUGUAUAGAGCAAUGGCCUUUGAUUUUAUUUGGUUCUUUAGCUUUAUUCGCUCUGUUUUUGUAGUCUCCCUGACCUGUUAGCGACUAAUGAGAGAAAAGCAUGGUUUUGGCCGUUGUGAAAAGAAGUGAAAGGAAGUAAAAGAGCUCGUUAAAAAUAAAUAAAUAUAUACAGUUUAUUUAAAAAAAUAAAAAUAAAUGGUAAAUAAAAUCAACGAGGACUGACAAAAGUCAGGUCGAGUGAUGACUGGUCUCUUAGUGAGAAAAGAAAUGAUUCGGUACAACGAUGGCCCACCACAAGAACUCCUUGUUACUGUGUUUCCGAGUCUGAAUCACUGCCCUAAAAUACACAAUCUACCCCUUGACUAUUGGAGCCCAAAGAUGAGGGUUGAUAAUGGCCGACACCUAAUGCCAUUGUAAAUGCUUAAAUUUAUUUAUUUAUUUUUUUUUACUUUUUUUUAUACAAGAGAGAACAGUAACUUUGUUUGCUGCUUUACAGCUUUAAAUCAUUGUAUGGAGUUAAGGAACCACGCCAUUCGCUUUUUGUUGUUUCCAUAUUAAUUGAGUUCAAUCGAAAAAUUAAAGUUAAAUAUGUUGAUGGUAUUAUGUUAUAUAAAUGUAAGUUGCUGUGUUAGAAGGAAUAUAUUCUCCAUGUGGCACCUAACAUCACCAUCCCGUACAGACAGGUGAGAUAAAUAAAAUAAGGUACACACGUUUGGAUUUUUUUUUUUUUUUUUUUUUUUUUGUCAAAUUGCUUUUUAUAGGAACACAAGGCGUAACAAUAAUAAUUAUCAAUUAAUCUAAUAUAAAGUGCUGUCUAAAAAUUUAAUCUUCUCUUACUUUGGGAAUCUAGAAAUAAAACAAUUGUCAUGAUGGAGUUGAAUUGCAAAGAAUCCACAGACAGAGUACAACACAAGUAUGUCCAAUAUGACAAUAUAGCACAUGUAAUGUGAGACUAAAAAUGGAAAAAAAGUUAAUUGUUUUCACCUACAAUUUUAACUUUUUUACUGUCCUUUUUUUUGCCAGUUUUUCAUCUCGCAGUCCAUUCAUACAUACAGGACACAGCUUUCAGUGAAACUGAUGAAAGAUGUUUGGCGGAAUGGUGGGGUUGUGCAUGGAAUUUUAUGCUCCCUUCAACUCUAUACCUUUGUUUUUUUCGAUCCUCCUCUUUUUUCUUUUUUAAUUUUAAAUUCAAAGUUCCCAUCAUUUCCUAAUGGGUUUUAACUCUAUAUCCCAAAAAGUAAUAAAAUAAAAUAAAAGAUGACUGGUGCUGAUCAUAGAAUUAUAAUGGGCCUGUGAAGUGAAUAUCCACAAAAAAGAACCAUUGACGACAUGACGUUCACUUAAGGAAUAUGUUAAAAAGCGGGACCAAUCGUUUAGUCAGCACACGAGAAUUGUUAUCCGGCCGUUGAACGACAGGGCAGUCUCAUUGGGAAUAUUUGUUGUGGUACAAAGCCCAGAACCACAGGCCUUGGGGCUUGCCAAAUUCCAAUCAGAGAGCCCAAAACUUCUCUUAUGGAGGCCCAUAUCCUAAGUUGCAGGAGCUCACAACGAAACUGUGCUUCUUCAUCUCCGCAAUUCCACUCGACUUAAUUAAGCAGUUUUUCCCCUGUCACACAGUUGACCCAGACUAAUUAAUUUGUUUUGCAUGUGUUGUUUAUUCAGAUUCUUAGGAGAACAAACUAUUACUAUACUAAUACGUUUACCAAAAUUAAAGAAAUGAGGUCUUUUCUCAUCUACUCUGUUCUCAUUGACUUUGAAAUGGUUGUUUUUCAGGUCCAAAAUAAUUUGAGCUCAUUAUUUCAUUAUUUACAGCAAUAUUUCCUAAAAUUUACACUUUUUCGUCUCUUAAAAAAACCAUUUUAUUAUUUAAUUUGUAAUAAAUUAUUAAAUACAUUGACUAGAUAAUCUUUAUUUACAAUAUAAAGAGAGAUUUUUAGAUAUUAUUAUUUACAAAUAUAAUAUUUUUGUAAAUGUGAUAUUUAUAUGUAAAUGGAGGUAAUUAACAAUUACCAAGUCACAAGUAGAUUUGGCAAACCUAAGAAAGUUUCUACCAUUUCAAUUUCUUGCAUUCUUAAAUGCACCAACUCAUAUCAACCCAUAUUGGCGUAUGAAUGAAUGAAUGAAUGUAAGAUGGUAUUAUUGGUAAUUGAAGGGAUGGCUUUCAAGGUUAAGCUUUAAACCGUGAAUCAUCUAUCGUCACACGCUCACAUUGUUAGAGCACAAAACACGUGCGUACGUAUAGCUAUACUUGAGUUGGAGAAGCCUGAUGCAGAUCACGCAAAUGCAGUGCCAAUUAUUUCCAUCCAUCUCACAUCACUUUAUAUAUGAGUAAGGUUAUAAAAUGGGUUUAGGCUAUUUGUAAAUUAAUAUAAUUGAGCUCAGUUAAUUUCAAAAAUUACUAGACGCAAAAAAGCAAAAACAAAAACGUAAUAUUUAUAAAAUAGAAUAUAUAUGGGAGCUUAUCAUAAAUUUUGCAUAUUAAGUUCUGUAACAACUGGAAAGGAGAUACACAUAUUAUAAUACAGUUGAGUUUUUUUUUUUUUUUUUUUUUUUUUUUUUUUUUUUGAAGAGACAUUAACUCUUGCUACCAUUGAACAAAACAGAAAUCACAUUACAUAAUCAUGAUUAAUUAAUCUUAAUAUUGAUGAAAAUCAAUAUUCUCUUAUAUUAUUCAGUUACCUGUUUUUCUCCUUUUUCUUUCACUUUUUAUAUAAACCGCAAAAGGAUUCAGAUUUGACCUUCCUAGGUCCAAUGGCAUUCCUCUUCUUUCUCCACAACCUUUCCUUUACAAAUCCUCUAAAACUUUUGACCAUAGAAGAUCGAUCAUGAUUACAAUCACCGGCAGCGGCGGCUCCCACGAAAAUAGUCGCCGGGUGUGGUGGAGGGAGUACUUUUCUUGAUAUUAACCUUCUCGAUCCUCCUCCAAGAGAUGGCAAUGUCAUUAGAUGGCGUUCAAUAAGAUAGCUAACAGAAACCAAUUCAUACGAGUCAUAUAAAGGACUGCCCAAAUCCCAAAUAGCUAAAGCAGCGUACUUUUCUUCUUCUUCUUCCUCUUUUUCCAUGGAUUUUCCUUCUGACGUCUUUUUCAUGGCAAAUAUUUGCAGAGUUAAAUCUAAAGAACGACUCUUCUUUUUGGUUGCCUUCUGACCGGCUUCUACAACAGAGAUCUCAUUGGAGUAUUUAUUUAAGCUUUGCCGGGCAAGUCAGUUUUCCAAAGAUACCCCUUAUUACCAGGAAUACGUAUUAAAAAUAUGAGGGUAAUAUUGUCUUUCGGCACAUGAAAUUAAAUAAUGUGCCUCCAAAACGGUAGAAGUUGGGUGAACAAAAAGACAGAUAUGCUCAUUCUACAAAAAAGAAAAAGGGUGUUUACAACCUAAAUCAAUUACUAUAAUUGUAUCUAUCCCAAAAUCAAGUUCGUGCAUUCCCUUCUCUUCAUCAAAUAUUUUAUAAUUAUUCUUUAAAUAUUUGAUAAUUAUUCUCUGUAUUUGGAAAUAAAUUGUGCAUGGCUGUUAUAUAAGUCAAUUUUCCAAAAAAAAAAAAAAAAAAUUAGCAACCAGUUUUAGCUAGAAAUAGAAAUACGUAAAUAGACAAAAGAUAACAAUAGAAAUUUACCUUUUAAAUGAGAAUUCACAUUUUCAAUUUCAUCCACUAACCGGUCUGUAAAAAUAAUUAAGAAUAAUAUACUCUUACUUUCAAUUAGUAAAACUCGUCAAUAAUAGAAAAACCAUGUUUAAAAUUUCAAUUAUAGUAGAGUAGUGGUUAUAUCAGCAUGACGACAAUAGCGAAAAUGACAAUAAUGGUGGUAUUCUAAAAUUUUAACAAGAAAGACUAAUAUAUGUUUGCAAUCGUAAUAGUUCUUGAAAUUUUCUUGAUCAUUAAUGCAAAACUUGACUCAUCAUCUCCUGCUAGUCGAAUUCAAGUGCUUAUAAAGUUAUUAUGUGUGCUAAAUUUAAAAAGAAGAAUUAUAUAUUUCCAUUGGGAUAUGCAGGUUAUAUAAUGCUGAAUUUGUUUUCUUUUUUAAGGUUGCAAACCAAUUAUGAGCUACAUAACCAAAAUUAUUUUUUUAGGCCAAGCCCUUUAGCGCGGGCUUCAAGCCGAGUGCCGCAUCCCAUUCUAUAGGUUCGAAAGCAAUUGUUAUUCAUAUGAAUCUUAAUAUAUAUAAUUUUUGUCUAGAUUCAUUCAUCAUCAUCCUAUCAAUGGAUCCAACUAGUAAGUAGUAAUUUUGAUUUUGUUAACUACCGAAGUCGCAAUCUUGGUCCAACGACAUGUGUAUCGGCCAGCCUUGACGAAUGAGACAAGAAGCCAAAGUCCAGUUUGAGCCGCGAAAGAAAAGAUAAGUUUGGAGUUUGACGAGAUGAGGGAGAAAAUAACAGCGUUGCUGAUAAAAACCUAAGCUUAUUCGAGUAUACUAUAAACCAAUUAUGAAAUAACAUUUGUCACAUUUAUAUUCACUAAAAGGCAUUACUAAAAAAAUUCUUGACAACAUUAUUGUUUAGGAUUUGCAACACUACGUUGUUCGUGGGAGCGACGCAUCGCGGGGUUUUGAACUGGCUAACAACAGUUCCUAAACCCAGAUAAUGAUCUAGAAUUUUCUGGAAAGUUCCUCUGCGAACUACUCGAAGCUCAAGGGGUCCAAUAGCAUUGAUCUUGCGAGAACUAACGUAACCUGCAUCAAGGAAAGAUCGAUCCAAGCAAUUGCAACACUCUUUCAAGAUCUCAUCAGUUGGUUCUUUAUUAAUUUCCCAGAAGAUCACGUAAUGCCCAGGCUCUGUUGAUAGAUCCACUAGGCUACUAAAAUCGACAACUUCAAUUUUCUCUUCAGCUAAUAGCUUUGCUGCUUCAUCUACUGCUAAGUGUAAGUCUUUCUCACUGUUCUUAUCAAUGUUUAUUGUAAGCAGUAAGCUUGUCCUGCAUACGAAUUUUAGUUCUGGGGUUGAGUUAUGGAAGCCCACGAUUUUCACAACAUCUCCUAGUCUAUACCUGUACAAACCUGCAGUUUACAGUUUAAGGUUAAACUUUAAGCACAACAGUGAAAAUGAUCUGAACGUUUAUCAUUAAUCGUUCAAGUAGACAAACAAGGAAAAUAUCCAAAAUGGAAAUUACAGAAAUCUGUAGAUCUAGAUUCGACAGCCAAAUAGCUAAAGUACAAGACAUCGAAAAAAUAAUAAUUUUUAUUUGGCCUGUGUAUUAUUGUUCAUUUAGUAUUAUUUUAUUUUAAAUCCAUCACAAGAGGCAGUAUAGUUAAUAGUUCUAUGUGGUCCUGUUCAAACUUUCCUCCACUCCACCCCACCUCACCCCACAGCAGUAACUCAAGAGUCAAGACAAAAAAGGCAUCACCUUCCAUAUACCUACCCCUCAUUUGUAUAUCAUAUCAUAUUUCUUUUUAAAAAACAUGAUAUAUAUGUUCCAUUUACUUGGUAUCUGGUGAGGACCAAAAGACCCCUUUCAGCCAAUGUUUCUAAUGUUGUCAAUCUAAAAUGUGUUAACUUUGGUACUCCGUUAUCAAAAGAUUUUGAACAAGUAAACCACUUGGUUUUGAAAAGGACAAUUAAGAAUAGCUUUUCCUAGAUAAAGUCAUAAAGCCUUGGAAGACAAAGGAAAAAGCAAAACAAAUAUAUAUAUAUAUAUAUAUAUAACAACUCGGCAGUCACGCAGAGAGAAGAAACUUAGACCGCAGGAAAAUUAAAUAUUGCACAAAUGAAACACAUCAGGAAAUAAAGAUUUUAACUUUAUGUACUCAAAACUGAAGAUUUUAGGGUCAGAUUUGAUUGGGGUAAAGCCGAGCCAGAGUGUACGUUCCUGCUUUCGUAAUACUCAGAAGCAUGACCAAUGCAAUAUUAACCAAUGAUCUGAUUUUGAGACUCUUUUGUACGAAGCACAUAUGAUCCUAUUGUGGUUUCCUAAUAUUGUGCAACACAUGAGGACCAAAGAAAUAAAAACAACCACACCUGGGGAUGUGCAUGCAUCUUACUAUCUUAAAUUCUCAGCCAAAUGGGCCGGUCAAGUCAAAUAGUUCCCAUUGGUGAUGGUGAUACCGUAGACAACAGAACAUAAUAAUAAUUGAAAAAACAUUAUAGUAUGGAGAGCAGAAACGUUUUCUUCAGUAUAGAAGCUAUUUUUCCGGGUUUCCUAAACUCACAUGGGUUGUACAAACUUUGGCUUGCAGAUAUCCAAUAAAUGGCAUUUAUUAACUAGCCAAGUCACAAAUAACUGCAUCAACGGAUGAAAAUGUUUCUGCAUCAUUGACUUCAAGAAUACUUGAUUAAUUUAAUUUAAUAUAGGUCUGCAGUGAGUAGACUAAAUAUAUUUCAGCAGAGUUUAAAUCUUCAAUUAUUUAUGCAAGACAUCUAACAUCUAAUUUCAUAUUGAACUUAAAUGCAUUAAGGAUUCUUGAUACUAAUAUCUAAUUCCGAAGAAAGAAUUCAACCAAAAAAACAUUAAAACCAUGAUUACCUCCAAAAUUGGUGACAAUUAUCUCAUACUCUUUUCCAAUCUUGACUUCGGUCAAACCCACUGGCUUGGGCUCUGAGUAGAGGUGCUCAUCCAUGUCUCCAACAGGAAUGAAUUCAAAAUAUCCAAUAUUAGGCAACACAGCAAAAGUAGCCAGUUCUGGAGGCAACUUCGGGUUGACGUUUGCUGCAAUCCACCCCUCUGAGGCACCAUAAUCGGCACACAGCAAAGGCACCUCGCCUGCAUAGUGCCUCAAUUUCUUCAAAUAAGGCUCCAUCGACCCAGUCAUUAUUCCAUAGAUAUACUUCACAUUAGGAAAGAGUUCUGGUAUUAAUCCAUACCAAUUAUUCAAUCCUGAGCAUUUUCUAUGGAUCAAAUCAGCCAAUUCAGGGUUUGGCUUGAGCACUUUGGACAUUGCUGUUCUGAUAGAAGGUGCAGUUACUCGAUUACUAAGUUCACCAUCCCGAAUAUCAUUACAGAGCUCUUGCCAGACUUGUUCAAAGGUUCUAAAUGCAAUAACAAUGCUAUGAGCAAAUGUAGAGGACACGAGCUCAAUUUCUUCAGAAAAGAUUAAUCCGCAUAAGAGAUGGCAGUAUAAUGAUUGAUGGAAGUCAGGACCAAAUAUUACUUCAUCUGGACUGCAGCAUUUGGAGUUCAUUGCCUCCAUUGCAGUUUUGUAGUUCGGAUUGCGAAAGAGAUUUGAUGUGGCAGUUCCAGCAGCCAAACCUCCCUUUGUUUUCGUAGGCUUGCUGCCAUAGUUGAACUGCAAGGCUUUUCCAUUCCCAACAGGGAAAGCUCUGCACCAUACAAACGUCUAAGCGUUAACAGAGAACUAAUUAACCAAUAACUGACAACAUUGAUUAUGUGGCCAAAUUCCAAUAAUAAUGAAUGGUAGAUAAUACAUUUAUCAUCGUCACAGGAAAUGGCAAAAACCAAGAGAACUCAAAGAGUUUUCUAGUAAGCAAAAAAUCACAUUUAUACCUGUUUCUAAAGGCAAAAGAAGUUCUAAAUAUCUGCAAGCUGUUGUCCAUCAAUUCUUCAGUGAAUGGCACAUAUUUUCGUCUUCCCUGAGUAGUACCUGAACUGCAAUAAUCCAUAUUUCUCAAAUUUAGAAACUUGAUUACAUAGAUUAAGAAAUAAUUAUAAAAAAUCACGAAAUGAUCAAAAUUGAAUUAGCUCAUACGUUAAAGAUAUGGUUUUUAUAGGCUUUCCAGUGAGUACAGGAGAAGAGUCUCCAUCUGCAAUUCUUUGAAUAUAAGGUUCCAAGUCCUUGUGAGUAACAAGCGGAACGCAAUCUCUGAAACUCUCCGGAUCAGUUCGUCCGUUGAGACCCAGAUUCUUUAAGUACUCUGCAGAUGCAUUCUCUUCCAGAAUCUUCUUAAGAGUCUCAAAUUGGACCCUCUCUGCAUCUUUAGUUAUUGCUUCAAAAUCCUCUAUCACUUUAUUAACAUCAAGUCCUUCCAUUUUCUUCUCUAACAUAUUCACUAAACUGCACUAGAAACAAAAAUAAAAUAAAAUUUGAUGCAAAUGAAGCCAGUUUCAGGAACUGAUCAAUGGUUGUAAUCAAGAUGAUUGAACCUAACGACAAAAGUCGGUAAUUAGGACCCAAUGAGAAAUUAAGAACGUAUGCUUGCUCGGAAAAAGCCAGACAGUUACGGCACACUUAGAUAACAAAUAAUUUCCUUAUUAUCAGUAAGGGCCACAUUCUGAGAAGAUAAAAAGAUUUGACGGCAAAAACAAUUCUGCUAAUUUAAUUUUGAGAUAUAAAUUAUUUCUCAAUCAAGCUAACCAAAACCUCCAGUCAAACGAGCGGACGAAAAUUCAGAAUUAAAAACUCGAUUUUGUUUCUUCCUUUUACCUGAAGAGUUAUCUGCAGGAAAUGGAAAUGAGCAAUCAACAAAGUGUUUGGCCACGCACAGAUUGACUUAAAGGAGAAGUGGAAAAAACGAUUAGCUGAAAUUAUAUGCAGGUGAUGGGUUUGGCGUCAAAAUCUAUAGAGCGAAUCACUAACAAUCCUUGAUCGGAGUGACCAUAGAUAACCAAGAAACUCGAAAGCUUUUUGGUCUUUAUUGGCGAAUAGUCAACAAGGUCAGCUUCAGAGAAUUUUCCAGGAAAGUGAGGAAAUGAAAUGUGAAGCAUAAAAUAGACGGGAUUAACUCAAUGAGAAACCAAAGUUGAAUUCAUUAAAACCGAGUUGAAGUUCGAAAUUAAAGUCCUUGUAAGCAUUUAGGAAGUAAAAUAAACAUAAAACAAAAAAGUUAAACAGCAAAAAAGGAAAAAUCAAUCAGUGAAAAAGGAAAAACGAUAAAGAACAACGGCAAAAGGAGACUCUGACCAUAAAAUACCAAGCAGUUCCGAGACAGAGACAGAAAAUCAACACAAGAACCAAAAUCUAUAGAGAAAAUAAAAGGAAAAGAGAAAAUUCAUUCAAAUUCAAAUAGAGAACAGUAGAAAUUACCGAGAGAGAGAGAGAGAGAGAGAGAGAGAGAGAGAGAGAGAAAUAUACACAAGAUACAGAAACCCAGCAAGAGACAAUACCUGUAAUCGGACUUUGGAAGAAAGAGAGAGAGCAACUUCCAGCAAAAAGACAAACAGAGAGAAAGCGGUAAAAGAACUUUUGGGCAGUGGCGGUUACUACAAUGGCGAAGGCGAGUACUUCAAAGUAACGAAUUUAUAUAGAAAAGGAGCAGAAAGAAAAAAAAAAGGAGUUUCAGCUAAAGACGUUACAAUAUCACGAUUUCGAUGAUGCCCCGUGCCCGUAGCUCUCGCUCUCUCUGCAGCUUAUCCCAGUGUGUGAGCUACUAUAAGCCAAAUGUGUUGUGAGAGAGAAAAGCGUAGUUUUGACUGACCUUAAUUUUUUGGGUAUGGUGGAGGAUAUUGGGAGAUGAGCGGAAGAUUCUUCUGGGUUCGCAUUAUAUAUAGGCGCAAUGGCAAAUGCCGUCCACUUUUAGCUACUCCAUUUCUUUCGAUUUUUAACUUUCCCAUUCUGUCCUUGGCUUGUUUGCUGCCGCUGCUUGCUAUUUUUGGAUUUUUCUAUUCUUUUUUCUUACUUGGAUGUAAAUUUAAAAACAUAUAUAUCCGAAGCCAAAUAGAUGAUUUUUCGUGGGGCCCUAACGAGAAACAGGUACAAGAUUCUGAGCAAUAAACAUUGCAUCCCAAUGCCUUUUUAAUUUUCCACUAUUUAUAUUUAGAUUUUGUGUCUUGUUUGGAUUUUUUUGGAUUUUCCGCUUAUCAAUUUAAUUAAUAAAAAUUAUAAAUUUUUUAUUUUUCAUAUUAUAUUUUUUCUUACGAAAUAGUCAAAACUACCUUUAUUUCAGUAAAAAAAAAAUUACUUUUAUUUAUUUAGUUCAUAAAUUUAUUCAUUCAUUGAUUGAGUUAACAAAUUAAUCUUUAUGAUAAUUAUCCAGAAUAAUAAAUACGAACAUAAUUUGAAUAUGAAUAUAAGAUAUAAAUAAAUUUCAAAAAUAAAAUAGAAUGUGACAUACCCGAUACUUUACAUUAAAAAAAUAAUAUAUUAAUAAAUUCAAAUAGCAAACAAUCAUUAUAAAAUCAACCCUCCCUAAUUUUGAUUUCAAAAUUACUAAUUAAUUCCUUAAUAUUAAUGUCAUAAUUAAUUCCAUAAAAGAUAAAAGCAUUUGCUUUUAGAAUUAGAAAUAUCACAAGAUUUUGCCUUUUUCCCUCACAAAGCCAAUUAUAGUUAAAUAAUAUGGUGCAUAUCCCCUCAUCAUCUUACCUAGUAAAAUUGGAAAAUAAUAAAAGUUUUGAAUAUUUCAAAGAGUAUUUCUAUCUCUUUUUUAAAUAUGAGACUAAUCCUAUAUAAAGCAGCAUAAAUUUAAGAAUUAUAGAAAGGAAAAUAGUUAUUAUUGGAUUCAGUAGAUAAAUAGAAAUACAAAAUUAGAAAAACCAUAAUUAGUGUUCCUUAAUUAUUUCAAAACGACAAACAAAAAUAGAUAGAGGAAGUAAUAAGGGUAAUAAUAUGUGGCUGCCAAAUGUGAUACGUAGGCAAUAAUGCGAGUUCCAUUUGUGAGUGGGUAACAGAUUAGUAGUGGGUGCAGGACUAUAAUAUAAUGAGUUGGGGGCCUAAUGGGCAAUUUCAAAUUUUAAUGGGGCAAACUGUAGAAGAAUCGUGGAAUCCCUUCUUCUACAUAACCCAUUUCUUUUAAAAGUGGCUACGUGUAAUUUAUUUUUUGAUUUAUCGGAUAUAAUAAGUAGUUGAAAUAAAAAAAAUGAAUUAUUAUAUUCAAUAUAGUUUAAAAAACUCCAUGAACUUUUGAACAGAUCAGAAAAUAAAAAAUUUCGACAAAAUAAAAUAAUUAAAAUAUUAUUAUUAUUAUAUUGUUGACGAGAAAGUGAUAAUGAAUAAUAAUAAAAAAAUAAAAACUAUGCAUCUAUUACGGAAAUCGCACUAUUGAAUAUAUUAUAAAAAAUAAAAAAUAAUCGCACUAUUUAUAGUAUGGAGAGAGAGAGAGAGAGAGUCAAUGAAAUAAAGGAGAAGUGCAUAUCCUUAACAAUAAACGAAUAGAUCUUAUUGGAGCCAAUGGAGUCAAGUCAUGAAAUAUACCUUAGCCUUGGACAUUUACGCAAUAUUUGAAUUCAACAUUUUAAAAUCUAUGUGUAUCAAAAAAUUGUUUUUUGAAAUAAAUAAAAAUUUUAAAUAAUUUUUUCUUCAUUAAAUUGAGGAAUUUGGUGUUAGUAUAAUUGCAUCUGUCACUUAUAAUUUCUUAAUUCAUCAGAACGAAUGAUAAAAAGUAAAUUUUCUUUGAGCUUUUUUCGAUUAAAACAUAGUUUAAUUUAUACAAAUUCAAUAAACCAUGCCUCAUAUUAUCGAAAAGAAAAUAAUAAAAUAAACUUGGGAUUAGGUUUUUAAUUAAUUACAUCAUUUUCUUUCAUGCAUCAAUAUGAUAAAUAUAAAUUUUAAAUUAUUCUAAUUACUUAAUAGUGAAAAUUACAUUUUUUUGUUAAGGAUAACCUUAUUUGUCCAUUUUAAUAUAUCAAUUCUCAACUUUUUAGGUCUUUGCUAGAUUAGGGUUGCACCUAUGCAAAAAAUGUGUAGGUCCAACACAAAAUUUUAUGAAUAAUAAUUAAUUAAUUAAAUUAGAUGGAUAAGUUUAGGGUUUCCAUAUGCUUAGAACUAGAAGAGGACAAGGCAGUGUAGUGUUGUCGAGAAGAAUGUCUUAUUUAAUUAUUUUUUAUUCGAACCCAAUAAUAAAUUACUUGCAAGUUGCUACAUGGAUGUGAAAUAUAUAUAUAUAUAUAUAUAUAUGUGAUAAAAAAUUAAUUAAUUAACUAAUAUUCCAGCUGUAAGGAUAAAAAUAUAGCUCGUUUCCUUAAAAAUCAAGAACUUGAUGCGACAUUUCCAAAUGUAAUAAUUUGUUUGGGAUUAUAUUAUAAUCAGAUUUUUUUGCGUUCUACAUAAUUGUUCCGUUUAAUGUAAAUGAAUUUAAAAUAUAAAAUUCAUCUGUGAAUAAAUUAUUCAUAUUUAGUAUGAUUCAUUUAAAAUAUAUAAUUCAAUUGAAUUUCAUGUAAUUACGUAUAAAACAAAUUUAUAAUUGAAAAUUUAUUUGUUUUUAUUUCAUACAAUAUCUUUAAAAUUAUAAUUUCAUAAAAAUAAACAAUAAAUACCAAUUAUAUAUAUAUUAUGCUAUAUAUUUUUUAAUAUUUUUAUUAAAAUAAAAAUAAUAUUAGUAAAAUUAUUACAUUUAAUUUAGUGAUAAAUGUAUAUUUAACUUGAAUCUCUCUCAUAUAUAGUAAAAAAAUGCUAAAAAAUAUUAAAAUAAAAAAUAAUUAGAAUAAAACACAAUAAUAAGAAUUUUUUUCAAAAACAUAAAUUUUUAAAAAAGUUUUGGUGAAGUUUGCUAAAAUAAAUAAUUAAAAUAAUUAAAAAGGUGGAAAAAUUGACUUUGUAAAUAGAGAAAGAUAGUUUUGUCAUAAAAGUUAAAUUGCUUAGUUUUGUGAAAUUCAUUUGAAAAUUCUACUUAUUUUUGUAAGAUUUAGUAUAAUUUUGUCCAAUUUCAUGGAAUUGAAUUCCUCUAAUUGAAAUUUAUAUUUUUUUUAUUCCACUUAUAUUAUAUAAUAUAGUGAAUUAAUAUUUACAUAUUUUUUUCUCUUCAUUUUGGAGGGAAAGAUACUUUUUAUUAUUUCCUCAAUUUUCUUUUUUUUUAUUUUCUUAAAUGAAAGAAAAGAAAAACCUUUUUUUUUUUUUUGGGCCAAUCCAAACAAAUGGUUGUCACUUUUCACCAAAUUACAAUGUACACGAAAAAGUGUUUCACUGUUGGCUGAUUCAAAAGGAACAAGAUUCGUUUUUACUUUGCGGCUCUCUCUGUGUUUUUCUUCGACAAGAAAUAUUUUAAUUUAUAAAAACUCAAAAUGGCAUACUUAGUUACAUUCUAAUCCCAUCAACUAAUUAAUCCACCUUAAAUCCAACUAAUUAAAUACAUUUGCAUGCCAAUUCAAAACAAACAUAUAUAUAUAUAUAUAUAUUAUAUAAGAAAAAGCGUUAAGCAUAUCUUAUCUUUUCUUUUUUUUUUUUUUUUUGUCCCCAUUCUCAUGGAACUCAAGUAAUGUGAUUUCAGUGAUACUUACUGGAAUUGAAGCAUUAUAUUCUGUUAUUUUGGUUGAAUAAUAUUAUUAAGACUAAUCUUCAUAUUCUGAAUUAUACCGUACUGAGAGCUUGGUCCACCAUAUUUUAUUAUUAAUUCAAAGUCAGACUAUUGAUUUAUUGUUCAAAUUUUCUUCAGUUGAAAUGAUUAUAUACCUAAUCCUCCGUACAUCCAAAUGCAAUUAACCUUUCUGUUCGUAUAAUUCACUGUAUUUGUUAAAAAAAACAAAAUGGACGUGCAUGCAUGAAGUUGUUUUUUCUACUUAAUUCAUUUAUUCUUCGUUCCAGGCCGAUACAUUAAAUUAUUAUUUUUUUAGAAAACUGUGUGCAUUUUUUUCACAUUUGAAAACUCUUUGAUUGUUUUUUAAAUAAAAAAAAAAAACAUAAUUAGACAAUAUAUGCAAAUUGAAAUGCAUGAUUACUUUAAAAAGUUGAUACAUAUGUUUUCUUUUUAGAAAAAUCUAAACAAAUUGACAUCAUUAACUAUUUUUCAUGUAUUUAUAGUAAAUUUAUUUGUUUUUUCUGGUCAACAAGUAAUCUAUCCGUGAAAUAAAGUAAAGAUUAGUUAAAUAUAUAAUUAAUUAGACGUGACUUGCACCACCUUAUCUUUUAUUUAUUUUUUAUUUAACAUUACAUCUUAUCUUCGUUUUCGAUGGAGAAAUUAACUUAUUAAAAAUUAAAUAAAUAUUUACACUUUGUAUAGCCAGUGCAUUUGCGGGCCACUUACACUGCCAGAUGAACGGUGGAUGGCAGUUAGGUCCAAAUUAAUUAACAAUUUAUUAUUUUGUUAAACUAGUAUGCACAUGUGAUGUGGGGUUAUAACAUAUUUAUAGAUAUUACCAUUAAGAAUUAACUGAAGAAGAAGGGUUCAUUUUUUUUUUUUUUUUUCAUGCACGUGUCUACCAUGUUGAUUAGUAUUGAUCUAUAAACUUAAAUUAACUGUCUUUGACCAGCACUGUGUCGUAUUGUGGAUAGUGUUUUGUUUCUUUCGAUAUAUAGUUUACAUUUAAUCCAAAAAAAAAAAAGAAAAAAAUGUUUUUUUUUUUUUUGUGUGCAUCUUCGUUUUCUUUCUAUGGGCUGGACUAAUAGCUAUAGAAAUUAUCAAUUAAUCAUAGAAAAGUUAAUAAUGAUUUGAUUUUCGACAGUGAUAAUGUAAAAUCUCAAAUGACAAUGAUUUGAUUUUGGAGACUGUAAGACAAAUAUUUGAUUCUCAACAGUGUGAGCAAUUAUUUACAGCCAAAUAGAUAUUACACAAAUGCUUUUGAAUCAGAAAGCUACACGAGGUGAAGGUAUCUAAAAGAGAAAGUGUAGAGAUCACAGUUUAUAACAGUAAUGAUUUGGGAAUUUUGGAAAAAGGCAGCCCUUUUUCAAAGUGCAUAUCUGUUUUUGCCGUUCUGAAAAUAUGCCUUUCUUUCUACUUUGGACUUUGCAGACACAGAAUGUAGUCAUCUAAUAUAGACAUUGUACCUACAAAUCCCAAAUCUUUAUCUUCUCUUCCUUACUAAUAAUUAUAAAAAACAAGUGAAUAUCCCUUUGCUAUUUACAUUCAGCGUGCAUCUUUUGCCAGAAUUACACUCUUUACGAGAGUUUUAGUUGCAUUACUUAUAGUCGUAGACAAUGCUAAUUCAGGAUUAUCUUUUAUUUCAAGUUGUAAUUUGUAUUUUGAACCGGAAACUUUAUUUUUUACUAAAUUUCUAUUUUUAUUUAUUCACACAGACCAUAAAAUUAAUUGGUGAAAUGUGUGGAUACAGCAGAAGUUACAAUACAAUUUACCUACAGCAACUGAAUUUGAUUGAAGAGAUUGCCAGUUGUCAGACUAUUAUGGUUAAUUGUUUGGAACGUAGAAACAGUUUAAGGACCUUACAAGUCAAUAUCAAAGUCGCUGGUGGUGAGAAAAUAUAAUGACAGUACAAGAAUCGCAGAACAGUGGAGGCGUGAAAAAAGGCCUGUGGUGGGCUUUGCCGCUAUGGCGCUGUUGUGGUUGCCACGCACGAUCCAAAUAGGCAGGAAGGAAAUGAUUUAGUCGAGAUAAAUUAUGCACUUUGUAUGUGGCUAAGUGCUGUCUUUCUCAGUGCAAAAUCUUCCAAUCGGGUUCCAGAACUGUACAUAUGUAUGUCCUUAAUUUAAUGGAGAGUGAUGAACUUGAUGACAUGAAAUUGCUAGACUAGUUGCAGUUUCAUGAUCUAUCAACAUUAAAGUAAAAACAGAUUGACUUAAUACUGUUAAUUUUCGAAAAUUUUAAUUCAGUGACAUUAAUUUACUUUUAGGAUUGUGAAAUUACAUGUUUAAAUUCCAAUAAUUCAUAAAGAAUAUAAAUUUUGAUUCUUAAAAUUAUAUAAUAAAAUUAAAAUUAAUAAAAUUUUAGUUUAUUUUUUAAUAACGGCGCCUGAAAUUUUCGUUCAGUCAUUUGCUAGUGAGAUUCUUGUGGGACACAAAGAUAGUUGGCUAUCCAAUUGAAAGAUACACAUAUUAACGUCAUGCCUUACAUAGAUAAAUGGUUUUUUUUUUUUUUUUUUCUCAAAAUAAAUAGAAUCUAUUUAUUCCACAAAUUACAGAAUCCCAUAAAUUUAUGUAUAUAUUUUAUUAAUUCAAAAUAUCUCUAAAAAAAAUGAAAAUAAGAAAAGAAAAAGAACAAUCAUCCAAAGGAAGAGGUGCACGUGAUCCAUAGACUAUUCCAUUUCGGCUGCAAACUCGGUACAUGUCCAUAAAAAGCCAAAAAGAUAUAUUUCACGUGAUACAUGUUGUUGGAUUAUCUUCAGCAUAUGGCCAUUUCUUUCCCUUUCUUCCCUUUUUGUUGGUGUUCUAACAAUUUUUUAUACCAGCAAGAACCAUCUUUUGCUUUAAGAACCGACCACAUUGGAAGUAUAUGCACACACUAUUAUUGCCAGAAAAUUUGGUUCUACAUUGACUGGUUUAGCUUUUUCUUAUUAACUUUAUGUUAAUGGUCUUCAUCAUCAUUUACGAAUGGAUAAUUUUCUUGAUUAGUGGAAUAUUAUGAUUAAGUAAGCUGCAUAUUAAAAUUACAAGCUAAUGGGUCAAUUUAAAAGCACUCAUCUUUAACAUUAUCCUUACAUGUUUUUUGGGUCUCUUACGUUUGUUCUUUUCGACUGAAUUCCAAAUGGCAACCUGCCAACUAUAUUAUUUAAAACUUAAGACAACUGUUUGGUGUCUAAGAAAACGGUCCUUUCCUUUGUCCUUGCAUUGAAAGAACAUGGUUAUCAUCUAUGAGCCAGAAUUAUUUUAAAUAUUAUAUAAUAUAAUGGAUAAUUAUUAGAUGUUUUUCUCCAAUAAAUAAACAAAUAAUUUUCAUUUGGUACUACUUUAUUGUUUUUAUUUAUGUGCACAAAUACUCUCAUUUUGAACUAAAAAAUUUUUGGUUUGAAAAUUUUUCUACUGAUAAAUUCGACAUGAAAAUUUUUGGUUUGAAGAAAAAUAAGGGAAGAAAGAAAAUGAUUUUGAAAUUGAAAAAACAAUUUCUUUCAACUCACUAAAAAACAUAGUGGUUGAAUAAGUUAUAAGCGUGUGCCUAACCAUCAUUACACCCAUACUAAAAAAAUAAAAUUAUAAGUUGAAAGAUUCCUCUACUUUUUUUUUUUUUUUUUUUUUUUUUUUUUUUCACAUUCACAGUAUAAAUUUCUUUAUUAUUAAGAGAAUUAAAAGACUAAUUACCAAGUUGACUUGGUAUAUUCAAUGAUAUUAUUUUUAAUUAAUGCAUAUUCUAUUGUUGGGUGACCAGACAAAUAUAUCUAGCUGUGAACAGUAAAAAGUAAAAAGUAAAAAGUAAAAAGUAGGUUCCUUUGAGCCAACCCAAAUCCGUGAGCGAUGUUGGCAGCCAAAAAUUGGCAUUUCAAUUUGAAUUUGAAACCAAAUGGGUAAAAAAGCUACUCGUCCUUCGACAUUAUAAUUCUCACUCUUGUCUGAACUUAGAUAUAUGGCGGCUGAUUUUGAAACCUACAUUCAUGGAAUGCAUGCAUCAACGUCCUCAAUUACUUUUAUUCUUUUUACUAAUCAUUUCAAUUAGUUCCCCACAGCAUAAAAAUAAUCCUCAAAAGCAUCUCUACUUUAAUUCUUUGGGGUUUUGCCUGUAUUGGGCUGUGGCCCAUUAUUCCUUCUUAAUGAUCAUUUUUUUUUUCUUUUGGACUGAACUUAAUGUCAUCUACCCCAUCUCUGUAAUAGCAGAUGGCCCAUAUGAAAGCCCAGUCACUAAGAUUUUUGUUAGCACUGAAACUUAAAAAAUGAAGAAAGCCAACCAAGUUAAGUACAACAUUCCUCGUAAAAACAAGUUUGCAAUGAAAGUACAUAGUCUAUGGAUUUUUAAUUUUUUUUCUGUUUAUUUAUUUUUUUAUUUAUAAGUUUCGGUCGGUCGAGGAAAGAAAUCCGCAACUACUUCUUUUCUUGCUUCCCUUUUCCCGUCCUUCCAACCAAACAGAGAGUUAUCCUUUGCGAUGACGUGUGUAGCUUUGAACGCCGUCCAACUGCUCAACCACAAUCGUUAGGUUUCCGUUAUCUUUCUGGUGGGCCCCAAUGCAAAACAGAAGCAGUAAAAAGAAACCGUACGUAUAUCUGACUGUUUAUUGUUUAGUGCUCGUUAGGUUUCUAUUUAUAGACCUUUUUUGUUAAAUACCCUUAGAUCCAGGCAGCCCAUCAUCAUAUAAUGUUCCCUACUUCACUUUAACUAAGCCUAAUUCUAAUUAAUUACUAUCUUACGUCCACAUUGUUUGGCCUCCAAGAUCUGAUUGGAGACAUUCAUCUACCUUAAAUAGGCGCGAGACCACCUACAAGCUUCUCCAAUUCCACGUGGACACCAACAAACGGCAAAUUCCAAUUUGGUAACCACACUAGCAAAUCAUAGAAGAUACAGACAGAAGAAGAGACGCCAUCACCUGUCAUCACUCGCUUCACGCUCUUGUGCACGCACGCACGCACUUACUUGCAAACCCAUAGUUGAGACCUCACUGUCUCCUCUCCCAAGAGCCGUCGCCCGCCACCAGUCACUACGACACUGUUUUGGGCUACGGAGAGAAAUGCAGAGACUCGCUGUCCCAUAAAAGCGCGACAUUAAGGCCCGACCUGAUCGAUCGUCGGAGAAAGAGAGAUCUUUUUUCUUUGGGACUUUUAUUAGGGUUUUAGUGAUCGAUGGCCUCUGAGGAUGUAAAGACUAGCAAAUCGGCUGUGACUACGAUCGUUAAUCUAGCGGAGGAGGCUAAGCUGGCUAGGGAGGGAGUGAAGGCCCCUAGCUAUGCUGUUCUCAGUAUCUGCAAAUCUCUCGUCGCGGGUGGUGUCGCUGGUGGAGUGUAAGUCCUUCCGCCCUUCUCGGUUGUUCAUAAGUAAUGGUUUCGCUGCAAAUUAUUUUCCUAUUCAUUUGCAUUUUCUGUUAGAGGAAGAUUGAAUUGUUUAGAGGAGGCCGGGUUCAAUAUUCUUUGUUCAUUUGCUCCUUCGUAAAAAAUUCGAGUUUUUUUGUUUCCAAGUAAAACGUUUGUUAAUUAAUGAUUUAUCUGCAUGAUUUGAAAACAGGGGAAGGAAUAUAUUGCGGUAUUCUUAGCCAAGAUGGGAUAUUAGCCUGCAAAACUAUGCUAAAUUAAUAAUACAUGAGAAAAAAAAAAAAAAAACCAUUUUUCUAUGCUGCAUUUGCGGUGUACAACCUUAGUAUGCAAGUAAUAAGUUGCUAUGAGAAAGUUAUUGUUGUUUGUUUAUUGGUUCUUUGGAAGUAUUAUGAGUUUGAUCGAUUUGGUUCUCAAGAGAAGUUGAAAAUUUCACAUCUAAAAAAUUUGAACUCGAUGCAUAUAUUUCCCUCUCUGGGUGAGAAGAAUAGGCAGAGAUGAUAUAUACCAUAAAUCGUUUUUUUUUUUUUUUUGCUUGGUGGGGGCGAAUUGUUUUAUUCUCAUAAUAAUUGAAUCAGAAAAUUAGAAAGUUUCUCUCUCCUGAAAAGUCUUGUAUUGUUAUCGAGGUUCUCUGAACACUGCAUGUAAUUACUAAUCAUUCAGGCUUAUGUUUUGAGACUUUGUUGUAUUUAUGAUGUAAGUAUUCAUAUCUAUGAUAUUACGGUUGAAUUUUGCGUUCCUUGUAUUACAAUGACAUAUAAGGACUCAUGUUACAUCUCACUUUUUUUUUUUUGCUUCUAUCAUUUACUUUUUUAAAUUUUAUUUCCAGUAUUAUUAUGUUUAGAAUAGAGCUAGUCCUCUGAGUCUAUUAUUUUCGUGACUAAAGUGGAAUGGUUGGUCUCGCACUUGAAGGUUAUAUUUGUUUCUGGUUUAGGAAAUACCAUCUAAGGUUCCUAAAGUUUUUCCCUUGAGGAAUUCCCUUAAAAUAUUUUUGCAGCUGGCACAGUUUAUGCUUCCCUAUGUUACUCCUAGGAUGAUCUUUGACUACUGAAACAUUCAAAUGCUUUUUCAGGUCACGUACAACUGUUGCUCCAUUGGAAAGGUUGAAGAUAUUACUACAGGUUAGAUCAUUCAAAGUUGUUAUUCCAUUUAAUUUAGUGCAUAUGAAUGUUUUCUUCUGUAUCUAUUCAUAUUCUGUGUUGUGCAGGUUCAAAAUCCCCACAGCAUAAAAUACAAUGGAACUAUUCAAGGGUUGAGAUACAUAUGGAGAACUGAGGGUUUUCGUGGACUAUUUAAAGGCAAUGGUACUAACUGUGCUCGAAUAGUCCCAAACUCAGCAGUGAAGUUCUUCAGCUAUGAGGAAGCUUCCAAGUAUGUUUCCUAGAAAAUUCUAAAUUUCAUUGGUUGAACAGGCAUUUAAUGUCUAAAUCACCAUCUUAGAUGAUUGUUGUAUUUUGCUGAAUGUGUUUAGUUUUGUGAUGUGGGUGGAAAUGCAACUUGCUGCUUAUAUUUAAUGAUAAUGAGUGUGCUUUAGUCCAUCAUCUGCAAGAAAAAUGGUGUCAUCUGUUGAAUUCAUAAUGUCACUGACAUUUUUAUAACCAGUAGUUAUGGGGGCAAAAUAAAUUAUUUAGAUUUGAUAGCUUAAUUAGUAAUUAUAGCAGAUAUCUGGACGCUGAAUUUCUUUUAUUCAUUCUGUAUCAUGGGUAAGUGAUGUUUCUAUCUUUAUAAAAUUGUUUUCAUAGGAAGGUUUAGCUGGGUUCUUUGGUUCUAUUACCAUGCAUGUCAUCUAGGCUUGGUGCCCUUUUCUUUUCCAAUCACUGGAAAUCACAAUCAUUUGUGGUUCAAAGGUUUUAAUUGAUUUGGACACAGUGCACAAGUAAUAUCUUUGUCCUCUUCCUGAUUUUUCCUGUAUAUUCUUAUGACAGGGGAAUACUGUGGCUGUAUCAAAAGCAAACUGGCAAUGGUAUGUGAUCAAUUAGUUGCAUUGUCAUUUUGUUUUUUAUUUGUUAAAAAGAAAGUUUUAGAGAUAUUGUAGGCACUUCUUUGCCUGGCUAGUUAAUAUUUUAUUCAGACUGAGUGGGUUAUAUGGCAUAUAUGGCACGUGAUAGAUACCGGUAUCUGAACCAUUUUGCCCUUCGGUUAUUUUCCUGCAGAAGAUGCUCAGCUCACUCCCCUUCUACGCCUUGGAGCUGGAGCAUGUGCUGGGAUAAUUGCCAUGUCUGCAACUUAUCCUAUGGAUAUGGUACGAGGCAGGCUAACUGUACAGGUAUUUUUCUUUUAGACUUCAUUUUCUUUCAGAAAUGUUCUCAGAGAAAAUAGUUGGAUUUUGCUCCUUCCAAUUUGGUUGUGCACAAUAAUUGUUUAUCUUUAUUGUUUUGUAGUCGUGGAAAAACUUAUUAUGGUGAUAUAACAUAUUUUUCAUUUAUCUUGUUCGGCAGACUGAGAAGUCACCUUAUCAAUACAGAGGAAUGUUCCAUGCUCUAUCAACUGUGCUUCGGGAAGAAGGUCCACGGGCUCUGUACAAGGGCUGGCUUCCAUCUGUCAUAGGAGUUGUAAGUCAUGCUUUCCUCAAGUUACAUUGCAUAUGAAGUUCUCAAUCUAUGUGUAAAAGGAAUAAUUGAAAAACAAAGCAGUCUGAUGACUGGUAAAUAUCAUGAUUCAUAUGCAUGUAAGCCUCUGAUUAUUCUGAUAAUUAUAGACGUCUUGUACAUUUAGGUGUUUUGUCUCACAAAUUAAAACAUUCUCUUUGUAUUUGUGUGUUUCAGAUGAAAGGACAUGGUAAUGGUUUUUAUUUUUUUGACAUGGUAUUUGUUUAUAUAUUUAUUUUUGUUGUAAAUUUAGAAAUGUUAUGGAAGACUGCUACAGUGAUUCAUAUGACUUCCUAAUUGAUAAAUUAUAUAUGCAACGAUAACUCAUUGGUCUUCUUAUCAUUCAUUGAGAAAAUGAUAGUAGAACUGCUGGGAUCGAUAUGUAUAUGCAGCUAUGAUGUGUGCUUUACCUUUGAAGGUUUAUAGUUUUUGUGUUUAUUGAUAAACUCCAUUAGUAAAUUUUGCAUGAUCAGUGGAAAAAAUAAAAUUGAAAAAUUGAUUUUUCUUUUUAAUGCUUUCCUUCCCAUUUGCUUGAUGAUGGAUCAACAGUUAAUACUUCUGCUAUUGUUAGUAAGUAAUAACUUAACCAUUCAGAAUUUUUUAUUUAACGUUAGGAACAAAAUGGUUUUUCUAUGUAUGCUUCUGUAUAACCUACCUGUUUUUUGCUUGCAGAUCCCAUAUGUAGGUCUCAACUUUGCUGUGUAUGAAUCACUAAAGGAUUGGUUGAUUAAAGCUAAACCAUUUGGACUAGUUGAAGAUUCUGACUUAAGUGUGACUACAAGGCUUGCUUGUGGGGCUGCUGCUGGAACCGUUGGCCAAACUGUUGCUUAUCCUCUUGAUGUUAUUCGCCGACGGAUGCAGAUGGUGGGAUGGAAGGAUGCUGCUUCCAUUAUCACUGGUGAUGGGAGGAGCAAGGCCCCCCUCGAGUAUUCAGGCAUGAUUGAUGCAUUCAGGAAAACUGUUAGGCAUGAAGGCUUUGGAGCAUUGUACAAGGGUUUGGUACCCAAUUCUGUAAAGGUGAGUCAUUAUGUUUCUUGCAUUUCAUUGGUUAAUGACUUUCAGGAUUGCAUAUAUAUGAUUCAAAUAUUUCUGUUCUUUUUUUCAGGUAGUCCCAUCUAUAGCAAUUGCAUUUGUAACAUACGAGAUGGUGAAGGACAUUUUAGGAGUUGAGGUCAGAAUAUCAGAUUAAUUGUUACUCUUUCCUGAUGCUUUUUAAACAAGUGUGCUAUUUUUGUAGUCAAAAGGGAAUAGGGAGAAAGGCAAACUAGGGUAAUUUUCUUCCACAUUUCUCUCUCCUAGUGAGUUUAAACGUGUGUUUAAGCUCGUUUUAUAAAAUUGUUUUUCCUACUUUGUUUCUCUGAGAACAUGCUGUAGCUUUCAUCAGCUUCUCAUUCAUGUAUCAAUAAGUACGUCGAGGGAACAACUCACAUAAUGCUAUUGGAUGCCUCUCCAUAAGAGUUGGGAUUGAGAAAAGUUACUUCAAGUCUCUACUUUGCAAUAACUAGUUAUUGAUUGGUGCCCCUUUCUCUCUCUGUGCUUUUUUUUUUUUUUUUAGAAAAAGAAUUAUUCUCUGGCGGAAUGGAAUGAAGUAAAAGAAUUAUAUCUUGCAUAAACAAUCUGCUUUCUGAAUAUUGAAAAAUUGAAUUUAUAAGAAAAUGGGCAUUGCAUUGCAUAAAGGUUUUGAAUCAACCGCUGAACAUUUAUUGAGGUUGCCUGUAAAGGUGUACUUGAACGGUGGAAAUCAGGACCACUCGUGCACCUGACAAGGUUUUGGUCAAAAACUUGCAUAAUGGAUGAAUUUGAGAGAGUUAUUUUUGUUUGGACUUCAAACGUAAUAAUUCUAUAAAUGGAAGAAUUUCAAAUGAACUUUCAUUUAUGUGUAUGGAUUUACAAAUAAUUUCAUAAUAUUCAUUUAUAUUAAAGAAUCAGCCAAAUACAUAAUUUAACCUGUACGCAGGAAAAAAAAAAAAAGAAAAUCUUAUGUUUUUUUGAAUUUUGGCAAUAAUUAAAAAAAAAAAAAAAUCUUAUUUCUUCUUGAACUUUGAAAAUUACCUCGUGGUUUUCUGAAUUUCAUUUCUUUUGUGUACAUGGGGCUUUUGAAACAAAGUCAAUCGGCGGCUCGGGCCGCAAAAUCAUUUCAAAGUAGAUCCAGAAGUAUUUUUUAUUUUGGUAAAAUGGUUCGAAGCCGCAAAAUCAUUUCAAAGUUUGGAUCCAUAACUUCUUUUUUUGUUUUUUGGGGCAAAAUGCUCCUAGUUAAAUUAUUUCAGCCCCAAACAAUCUCUUAAAUCGUAAGACUAUAUCUAUUAUUUUUGUAAGCUAUUAUACAAAGUUUCUGAAGAAAGCAAUAACGUAAUCACAAAUAAGAAAGUAUAGUUUUAAUAUAUAUUUACUGUAUACUAUGCAAUAUACGUUUUAAAAAAGGCCAGUGCAAGUCUUCAAACAGCAGCUCUUUUUUUUUUUUUUUUUUUUUUUUUGUUCUAUUCAUGGCAGCAUCCUUUCAUCUCUUCUUACAUUUUUCUGCCAUGCCUGGAAUUCAAAUGAAAAUAUCUUUGUAAAAAUUCCAAAUGUCAAAUUAGAAUUGUCAUGUUAAAGGUUACAAACAGAAAUAAGUAUACCUGCAGUCCUUUAUAAUUGGUUGGAUCCUAUGUGCUCGUCUUCCCAGAGACUUGACAUCGUGUAUGUCUCGUCUUCUGGUGCUUGUUCUUGAAAUGCUAGCCUUAGCUUCAUGAUCUUUUUUAAUACUCUUUACUUCGUUCUCUCUUGAAUCCAUGCAAUCUUCAGAUGAUAAAGUAACCAAGGAAAGAACUGUAAUAAGAAGGUUCAUCUCCCGAAGAAAAUUAGGGUUUGGCUGCUCUAAAGAGUCGUCAUCGUCGUCGUCGUCAUCAUCAUCGUCAUCAUCACGCUCCCUCUCUUCCCUGUAUUCUUUUGCUGGCUCAAUUUCAUUAAUAUUUUCUUUUGCAAGAUCAGUCAUCUUAGCUUAUUUUACUCUGCAUCAAGAUUCAAGAUCAACAUUGCUUCGCAUAUAAAAAUGAUAAUUAUUAAUAAAGAUGGUUUUUUGAUUAUUGGCGCAUUCGGAUCAUUGCCCAUUGGGUGCAAUGCUUCAAAUUAUGUGUUAAAAAGCAAUAUCAUCGAUAACUAAAAAGAAAACGAAAAGAGAAAGAAAAAAAAAAAAAAUCUUACUGUGACCCAAAAUCCACCAUCUAAUAGCAGAUCGGUGAUAUAAAUGCUAAAUCAAAUUUAGAAUUAAAAAAAUAAAAAAAAAUCGAAUAUAAAUUUUAGUUAGAUAUGAAAAAAUCUAAAGCGAAAGCAGAAGAGAAAGGGAAUAUGAAUGAAAAACUAACCUGGCCAGGCCACGAUUGGAGUCCGAUCAUCCGUAACCUCUUUGUUGAGAUCGUAUGAGCAUACUGUUCCCUAUCUUAUAUAUUGGCUGCUGUAAAAAAGAGAAGGAGGAGAAGAAAAGUCACAAAAUUUUAAAAUUUAAGAAGAAAAAAGAAAGGUGGGAUCCCAAAUUAGGUUGAUAAUAAAACCUCCUAGAUUCCGGCGGCACAAUGUUUUUUUUCCAAAUUGCGGUUUUCGGUUAUUUUUCUUUCUUUUUUUGGCCUUUUCCUAUUCAGAAUCAAAAUCCAACUCAAAUUGAAUUGAUUUUGAACUUGUUUUUGAAUUGACUCAAAUCAAAUAUCGGGAAUCAAAAGCUUGGUCGAAUUUCGGAUUGAUUCCAAUUCCACGUCAUCAAACUUGACGGGACUAUUUGUUAGUGGGUUAAUUUUCAUGGACCUGGUUGGUUUCUGGGCUGAGUACGAUAGCUGAUCAGCAUUGAGUAAUCAAUUUUGGUUGCUGAAUGAAUGAAGCAUAAACUAUCAAUUCUCUGUUUUCUUUUAAAAUACUUCUUCGUAGGAUUAGGAUAUUACAAAAAAUUAAAAUAUUUAUGCAAAUUGUAAUUUAAAGAAAAAAUAACAAAGCUAAAAUUAUAUGGGAUGAAUUAUUUGGACAAAGAGGCCCAGCCCAUUAAGGGCCCUUCCCCCACGGAAUCCGUGAGAUGAUAAUCCACGACGAGCACUAUGUGUCUAUUUUAGGACCAAUCAUUUGAUAGGCUAGGAGCGUGUGACUCAUUGUUUACAAGUUACAACAAAUAUGGCACGUGUGAGCCGCGAAUUACACCCUCGCGGCUCAUUCCACUCCAUUCAUUUCUCUCCGUGAUUUGGGCUCACAUAGAUAAAGAAAGCCACUGGCUUUUAUCGAAAUUACGUGAAUACCAUUCAUUCUCCAUUAUCAAAUUCAAUGGUUUGUCAAGGCGGUUGAGGAAAUUGACAUGUGAUUCUAAUAAUUGAAUUAAAAAACUCUGAAUUUUUAUUUUAUUUCAAUUUAUUGUUUUAAAAAUAAUAAAAUAUCUUACUCUUCCAACGCUUUUUUUUUUUUUUUUUUUUUUACUUUUUUAAAAACUAUAAGUGACAUUCUUUUCUCAUUGGUCUGUUUGUGUGCAAAGUGGAAAGCGGUAGAGAUAUUUAUUUUCCAUUUGAGGAACUAAAAUGACAAAUGAAUGACCUUGCUCUCUUCUUUCCGCUGUCUUUAUAAAAUUGACUUUUGCUUCAUUAAAAAAAAAAAAAAAUUGUACUUGCUUGAUGCUUCUGCUGCUCCAUUUGUUGGUAUUUAUUUAAUUUUUUAUUCUAUUCUUCGAGUAAUGUGAGACAGGAUCUCUUGUUCUAUGAUAAUAGUCAGAUGUGUUUAGUUGUUUUCUAAAAAAAUUUAUUUGUAUUUUACUAUUUUAUUUUAUUCUGUUAGUUCGCCACUUGAAUGUAUGUUUUCUGUUAAAUUUUUCUUUUUUCAAAUUCAAUUUCUGCUUUCUCUGGUUUCAUUCCUGCUUUCUUCUCACCUUUUUACUUCUUCGUGUUUAACUGAGAGUAGUGAACUGAGUCUCUGCAGCAAAUUGUGCAUCAUCUGUUGAAUGAGGUUACUUUUCGCAGCAUGAAGCAAAACGAGGAAGAAGUGAUUGCUGAUGGGAAUCGAGAGCUACAAGCAAAAGGAUGUGAAAUUCCUCUGAAAUUGGAGGACCACAAUAAUAAUGUAUUGGAAUCACCAAUGGUGUGUGCACCUUUGAGGGGUUCUAACAAUGAUUAUAGAGGUACAAGUAGAACACAAGAUAAGGAUUUGAGUACACGUGUAAUUUCUUUCACUGGAUCUGAACCUCCUCAGACUAGCCCAUGCUCUAUGAAUCCCGCGGGAAGUGUGCUUGAAUUGACUGUAGGAAAUUAUAGAACCCCUAAAUUUUCCUUUGUUAAUAUCCCUUUCAGUAAUAGUACAAGCCAAUGGCAGCAUAAUCUGUCUGAGUUAGCUACCCUUACUGGUUCUAGAUUUAAGGCUUUACAUGGUGUUUUUGAUACUAAUGAAGUCUCUACAUGUUUAAGGACUACUGACAAGAGAAUUGUAUCUAGCUGUAAUGAGGGUACAGAUACUCCGCUUAAUACCUUAGUCAAUUCUAGCAUUUCUCAGUUGUCUGUAAAUAAAGCAUUGAAGGGUAAGGGAACUUCCAGCAAAAUCGGAGAUGCUCAGGCUGUAUUUGGUAGUUCUGUUUUGGGUCAUAGUGAUGGAAAAUUGGGUUCUGCAAGGAAGAUAGCUUCUGAUGCAUUGAUGAGAUCAAGUGCCAGUAGUAAUCAGCUUCCUUUGCAUAUGGUUGAUGGAUCUGGUUCUGAAUCUUUACAUUAUGGGAUCAACUUGAGAGAGUGGAUGAAACUUGGAUGUCACAGAAAAGAUAAAGUAGAAAGCUUAUUUAUUUUUAGGCAAAUUGUGGAGUUGGUGGAUUUAGCACACUCUCAAGGAGUUGCUUUGCAAGACCUACGGCCAUCCUGUUUUAAUUUGUUGCCAUCCAAUAGGAUUGUGUAUACUGGUUUCUCUGCCAAGAGAGAAUUGAAGGCUUCUAUAUUACAUGAUUCUGUUAAGAAAAGGCCAAUGGAACAAGAUGCAGUGACAUAUAGUAGUUUAGUCACAAAACAGCAAAAGAUCAGUGACAACAUGAAGCCUUUUGGACAUCAUUCUGAGUUUGCAUCUACUUGUGACUUCAGAACCACGGCAUUGGAUGAAGUUGACUUUUGCGCAUAUGGUGCAGAAGUCACUGAUCAUAUUGACAUUCAGUCUGGGAGCAAUUCCAAUUACCAAAAUUCUUAUAUGAUAACUAGACAACGGUUUCUUUCUAUGACUGUACGAUUCGAAGAAAAGUGGUAUAUGAGUCCAGAGCAGCUGAAAGGAGGAAUUUGCACCUUUUCAUCAAAUAUCUACAGCCUCGGGGUUCUUCUUUUUGAGGUGAGUUUUUGACUGAAGGUAUUAGAAAUUUAUUACCAGGUAUUUCUUCUUGGUGUUUAAUCUGACUUUAUCCCAAGAUACUCGAGUUUAGAGAUUAUUGUGCCAUUUUUGAAAAGUGACACCCAUAGGUCAACUAGAAUUAAUUCAAGAUUUUUGUCUUUACGGCCUUGUAGAGAUGAACUUCAAACAAUGUAGUAAUGACUAAUUGUCUUCAGAAAUGACAUUGCAUAUUUUUUGGCCAGAAAGAACUAUGAUUUUGUACCAUCAUAUGGAGCUGUAGCUUUUUUUAAAACUCCUGCAUGGAACUAGAUAAGGGAAAUUCCAUGCAAAAAAUAUGUACCUUAGUAGGGAUUAAGUAGGCAGUCUAUCUUUUCAACUAACAUGGUUUGUUUCCAUCAGUUGCUCAUCUGGUUUGAAUCACACGAGAUGCAUUCUACUGUUAUGCUGGAUUUGCGCAAUAGGAUUCUACCAUCAAAUUUUCUUUCUGAAAAUCCAAAAGAAGCUGGCGUUUGUCUUUGGUUUCUUCAUCCUGACCCUUCAUCUCGUCCAACAACAAGGUAUCCUGGUGUCUGCAUUUCAUUAUCUGCUGCCUUGUGCUGUCAUUGUUUGACAUUCCGUUAAUUCCUGAAUUUGUUUCACAUACUAUUGUCAAUGUUUAUAUAUUGGUGAUUAUGUCUGAAGGAAGUGAAAAUUUCCAAUCCUCCUGUUUUUCAUUAGCCUGCCUUAUAACUCUUUAAAGCCAUCUGUUUCUUUAUUGUAUCCUUCUAAUUUUGCCACAUGAUAUUCUGUGGAUCAUUGGCAACUAAGAACACAAAGCCACGUGGUAAACUUCAGCCAUUUAUUUAAUUGCAGCUUAGAUGCUCUGCUGUAAUUGCUUAUUUGGACAGUGUUUCUGCUCCUUUGUGGCCAGAUGAGUUGUUUAAUGAUCGACAUUAAGUAUUCAGGCCCUAUUUUACCUUGUUUCUUGGAUUUCAUUUACUAUGCAGUUCUACCUGCGUAAUUUCAUAUGCUACAUCUUGAGUUUGUAUGCCAAAUGCAUAUAUGCAUCAUAGAUUUUGCAUGUGUUUUAAGUGUUGUUAAACAUGAUACAUUUUCGGAGUCCUUUUUUGGCAUGGAACAGGGAAAUCCUGCAGUCUGAAUUAAUAUGUCAAUCCCAGGAAUUAUGUUCUGUGAACGUGUCAACAUAUCCUGACAACAACGAUACUGAAUCAGAGCUAUUGCUUCAUUUUCUCAAUCUGUUGAAAGAACAAAAGCAGAUUCAUGCCUCCAAGUUAACUGAACAUAUUGAGUGGUUGGAAGAAGAUAUUAAGGAAGUGAAAAAAAGACAUUGUUUGAGGAUUUCCUCAGUUUUCUCUCAGACAGAAGAGCCAUUUCCUGAUGUGAGAGAACAAGGAUUGCAUAUCGGUAUGAGUGAAGUUACUACUUCCAGAUCAUUUUUUGCCUCUGAUAUGAAUCAGGUAAAAUCAAUUGGAAAUGUCAACCAGAUUAACAAUGCCUAUUUUUCCAUGAGAUCCCAAAUCUGUCCGAAUUAUUCUGCAUCACGCCGUGAUAAAGAUUUUCUCAAGAGGCGAGUUAGGUUGUCUGCUGUCCAUGAUGAGGAAUCAAACGUGAUUCAAAAAUCCAUUGAUCCCCUUGGAGCCUUUUUUGAUGAUUUAUGCAAGUUUGCUCGAUACAGUAAGUUUGAAGUGUGUGGAUCACUUAAAAAUGGAAAUCCUUUGAGCUCUACGAAUGUGUUGUGCUCUUUAUGUUUUGACUGUGAUGAGGAAUACAUUGCUGCCGCUGGAGUAUCAAAGAAGGUCAAGGUCUUUGAGUUUGGCACACUGUUAAAUGAUUCCACAGACAUCCAUUAUCCUGUGGUUGAGAUGUCAAACAAAUCUAAGCUUAGUUGUGUCUCCUGGAACAACUACAUCAAGAACUAUUUGGCUUCAGCAGAUUAUGACGGUGUGAUUCAGGUCUGUCGUUCUUGCAUCUUGAAAAACAUUUACCCCCUAAAAGUGGUUUACCUGUCCCUGGCAUUCAAUUCUACUCCCAGCUUCCUUCAUUGUAUUUAUAAUAGUGUAUAUGCUUACCAGACCAUUAAUUAAUAGGCCAUUCUUGGAGCUUUUGCAUUGUUGACUACCUGAGAUUUGUAACUCAAGUUUAUUUAAUAAUUUUAAUGCAAGUAGAACGAAACUUUAAAUGUCUUUGGAAAUGAAUGAGGUAGUGCUGCUCUAGCCACACUCUUAUCAUGAGACUUAAUUGUUAUGUUUUGUCUUUAAGCAUAUUGUAAAAUAAUAUUACGAAGAAAGGACUUAUUUUCAAGUUAUGACUGACCUUUUUGUCAUAUAUGCAUAUAUAUAUGUAUGGAUAGAUUUAUUACUCUGAUGUGGUUAUUAUUAAGUUGAACAUUGUUGAUGCAGUUAUUCAAGAUCACUGAUCAAGUUGCCAUUAGUAUUGUUUUACCCUGUUUAACUUUUGUUUUGUUUAUAGCUAAUGAUGUGUAUGGAUGGAAUCCAGAUGUGGGAUGCAGGCACUGGUCAAGUGUUCUCUCAGUAUACAGAGCACCAAAAGAGGGCAUGGUCUGUAGACUUUUCACUUGCUGAUCCUAUGAUGUUUGCCAGUGGAAGUGAUGACUGUUCUGUGAAAUUAUGGAGCAUUAAUGAGGUUUGUGGUGUCAAGUUCUUUGGCAAUUGACUUGCAGUGUUCCCCACAUCACACUCACACGUGCAGUUGAAGCUGCUCAUGCCAAACUGUAUCAACUUACAAAAAAUUAUAUUCCCACACGCAUACAUGCUGAGUUGUUGGAACAAACCAGUGAUUGUUUUGACUGAUGGCAGUUAUGAGGAAAAAAUUCUAAUCAAUUUUGUUCUGCCUAGAUGCAUAUGCUUAAGCCAUAAGAACAAUUUGAUAGAGCCAUUUUCUCAGUCUACUUUACGAAUGGAAUUGGAUUGUCAGUUUUUCAUUUGUAGUGCGAAUACCCUUAACUGUUGACAAUGGAAUUAAUAUAUUCCAUGGUCAUGUUAGCCAGCAUUCUGACUCUCUAAUUCCAUUGAUGACUUUAAAUGCCUUUUACUCUUGUACUGAACUUGAGGAUACGUCUCAAAAGUUCAAAUUAUGUCUUUAUGAUAGUUUUGAUUUUCAGAGACGGGAGAAACCUUUUGACCAAAAUUAUUUUGCUGAGAGGUUAUAUAGAUACCAUUUGGAAUUUAGUCAGAUAUGCUUUAUUCGCUUCUAGGCUUCUCUAGUCAUUUUCUAGUGUUUGAAACUGCUGACAAUAAGAUCUACUAGAAUGAACAUCCUCUUAACUACUGAUAAUGGACUUAACCCAUGUAGACUCUAAGUUCCUUUGAUUCUUUCAUUAAUCUUGGGAUACUUCUUAAAAGUCCAAUUUUUCUUGGCAAAAAUUUUAAAUUUUUAGAGUUGUGAGAAGAAUUUUGAAUGUGAUUAUUUUGCAGAGAGGUUCUAUAGAUACCAUUUGGAAUCCAGCCAAUACAUGUUGUGUUCAGUUCUCUCCAUCCUCUACUCAUUUGUUAUGUUUUGGAUCUGCUGACUAUAAGAUCUACUGCUAUGAUCUUCGGCAUACCAGAAUUCCUUGGUGCACAUUAGCUGGCCAUGAAAAAACUGUUAGCUAUGUGAAAUUUUUGGAUGCAGAAACCCUUAUUUCUGCAUCCACAGACAAUACUCUAAAGCUUUGGGAUCUUUACAAGACUAGUCCAACUGGGUUGUCCUCCAGUGCUUGUCGCUUGACAUUUGGUGGCCACACUAAUGAGAAGGUUGGUUACACUAGCAUAUGUCUGUUCAAUAUUUUUAGCACGUGACUGUUUUGUUGGUUCUAACUGUUAUGAAAUUUUUAUGUUCAGAAUUUUGUUGGUUUAUCUACCCUAGAUGGAUAUAUAGCAUGUGGUUCGGAAACUAAUGAGGUAAAUUUGCUUACAUCUCUAGAUUAAUAAAAAUUUGAAAUUUAAUUUGGUUGUUCAAGUUUCAUCUAUCCGAUAGCACACAUGUAAUUUAUAAGCAUAUCUAUUAAAUCACAAUCAAAUGAGACACAUUUCAUUGUAUGGCUUUACGAGACAUUAUUGCAGAUUUGUUUCUUUGAAAACUGAGGAACAAGUGUGUGCAAUCCUGAUUUUUCCAGCUGCAUUGCUUCUCAGGUUUACUGUUAUCAUCGAUCCCUGCCAAUGCCAAUCACUUCUUAUAAAUUUGGAUAUGUUGAUCCUAUUUCUGGAAACAAGAUUUGUGAUGAUAGUGGACAGUUUGUUUCGAGUGUCUGUUGGAGACAAAAGUCAAACAUGGUUGUAGCUGCCAAUUCAACGGGAAACAUGAAAGUAUUAAAGAUGGUGUGAAGUUGCGGCAUUUAUCCAGAAAGCAGGGCUAUUUCUUACACAUUUCAUGCAUAUGCUUGUAGCCAACUCUCAAUCGCCGUGCUGCUUCCAAUUUCCAAGAGCUACAAAUAUUGGAUUCCUGGCCAAUCCUGCUAGUGAAUCCUUGAAGAUCAAAACUCAAAAGGGAGUAAGACGUGUAUAUGUAUUAUAUAUAUACCCGUUACAUGGAUUUUGAGUUUGAAAUCCUCCCUCUGGGGUUACCAUUUGACUUAUAGAUUGAAGGAUUCUUCGGGCUUCUGGCUAGAGCUCUUCCAAACGAGUUAAUCAAAAAGCGUGGGUUGAAUUGGACAAGACUGAAAGGCUGUGCGAUCAAAAAAGAAUUUUAACAGAAUGCAAGAUCAUACUAAACAAUUUGAUUAUCCAACAGUUAGUUGAAGAGGAAUGUAAAUGCUUCGAUGCUUUUUUUUUUUUUUUUUUUCCCUUCCCUUAAUGUUUGCUCCUCAGAACUGUAUAUUUGUGUGGCUGAGGCGUGCAGUCAUUUUAAGUAAGGUUAUAACCUUCAAAUCGGUAUAUAGUAUAAAUUUUAGUAUUUUGUAAUUAACUAUUUGUAUCUUAUUCUUAUCUUAAAAGAAAUGACAUCGUUUCCACCAAACCUUAUCUUGGGGUUUUUUUUUUUUUUUUUUUUUUUUUUUUUUUUUUUUUUUUAUUGAUCCCAAGGGAAUGACGCAAUCGUCCAACGAUUUUUAAACUAUUUAUCGGUAUCAAAGUCUCCAUUUUUCAACCCAUCUCCUUGAAAUUGCUAAAAGCAAUUUUUUUUUUUUUUUCUGGGUUUGAAGUUUAAUUGCUUAAAUUAUUGUAAGUUUUUCAGUGGGCUUUUCUGAAUUUUUUUUUUUUUUCCAAUUUGGUCCGGUUAUUUGGGGAUACUACUCUUCCGAUAAAUGUAUAGCACACGAUUUGUAGAUAGGGUUUUCUAAUGUUAUUCUGCAAACAACCUUGCAAUUUGUUAACUGGAAGAACACUGAGACGGUCUUAAGAAACUACGUCAAAGUCAAAAGAUAGAAGGUUUACUUACACUUCUAACUACAUAAAACCCAAAUUCUGAUAACAGACUUGAAACCUAACGUUCAUAACAAAAUCUACUGAUCAAUUUAACUGAAAUAAUAUAAAUCCGAAAUAUCAAAAAGAAAACUAUAGCUAAACAGAAAACACAUAAUGCGCAUACACAAUGAUUGGAGAUGACAUACUUCCUCACAAAAUUAUGACAAUUUUGUAAAUGGACAUUCAAAAUCUAAUAAAAUUGUAAUCCAAUCUAGAACUAGAAAUGAUAUAUUCCUCAAAGGUACACAAUACAUAGACUUGAAAGAGGUUUACGAUAUCUCAGAAUCUGAUGCAGGACCAGUAGGUGUUCUAAUUUUUGGACGAAUCAACAUUAGCUGGCUUUCUGAAUUCAUUCUCAUAUUUCGGCUAAUUGGAGUUAUCAGUUGUGGAGGUCUAGAACGUAAUAAGUUUGACGUCCCUGUGAAACAAAACCAAAGAUAUAUAUAUUAGUACAAGAUCAGUAAAAUAUAUCGAAAAAGAAUUAGGUUCCGAGGUUUACCUGCUUGUCUACUUUUUCGCACAUCUGGCGAUUUCUUGGACAAGGAAGGUUUUCUAUUGAUGUUGUUAGGUGAUGUUGAUAACUUUCUCUCAGUAGGGGACGGUAAUGGAGAAGGUAAUGGGAAAGGAUCAUCAGUAGAAUUGAAAUUUUCAUCCCCACUAACUGAAGCUUUAUCGUCACUUCCUGAUUCUGAAGUUUCUUUCUGGGUUGCUCUUAGUUUUUCUUUCUCAAACACUCUAUAAACAAACAUCUGAAAUGGAAUUUGCUUUAUAGUUGAUGAUGAAUCAGUUUCGUCCCAACAUGGAAACUUGCUGCGAAGAAUUGACUCAAUAUCACCAUAGUCAACUGCAGGCAUUGGUGGGUCUAUCUCUCUAUUAUAAUCAGGAUUCAUAGCGAGGAAACGUUUCAUGUAACGAAGAAUCCUGCAGAUCGAUGAGAAACUUGGCCUCUGAUUUGGGUCAGCUUGCCAACAUUUCUUUGUCAAGUUAGUCACGUAUUUUGGUGAAUUUAAUGGGAAUAAUGGCCUUUCUCCUGCUCUAAUAUUUCUGCUCAUUUUGUCUCCUUGAAGAUGACUAUCUUCAAAUGGAACUUUUCCUGUUAAAAUUUGAAAACAAAUCAUUCCAAAACUAUAAACGUCAGAUUUUUCAGUGUAUUGGGAAUUUCUUGCACUUCCUGUCUGUUCUUGCUCUUCCAAAACUUCUGGUGCAUACCAAAUAAAUGGGAGGAGGUUUCCAUUCUGAUUUAAAGAAUUUUUUGUAGAGAAUUUUUUUACUGAUGAGAGUCCAAAUCCUGAAACCUUCGCUUGUAGAUACCCUUCUGUGCUUAUGUUUCUUGGCUUAACAAGAAUAUUAAAAGGGUUUAAACUACCAUGAUAAAUUUUCUUUGAGUGGAGAUAUUCCAUUCCUCUAGCAAUCUGUAGCAUAAGAUCAACUGCAACAGGAAGAGAAAAUGGAACUCUCUUCCUUGGCCCACAAAUCUCUCUGUUAUAGCUAUAAAGAUCUCUACUCAUUAGUUCCAUAACAAGAAAACACUCUUUCUUUUCCUCAUCGGUGAACCCACAAAAGGAAUGCAUUAUAUUUGGAUGUGAAAGAGAUAACAAGGAAGAAAUUUCAGGAACAAGAGAUUGGAUAUCACCAAAGAAGUGUCUCAUUGCAAGAUUUUCACCUAACCAUGAAAUCUCUUUGUGUUGACUCCCAUUUCCAAGCCGUCGCCUUACCUGAUAAUCUUUAGACCCAAUUAAUAUCGAACUAGGUAACAACUUCCCAUUUUGAAUAUCUGUUCCAUCCAAAUUUCUUCUUAAAACAUCUGUUAAUUGUCGCUCGUGUUUUGUUGAGCAAGAAACCUUAUUUUCUUGAAUUUUAUUCCAAAGAAUCCAUCUAUCUUCUUUCCAAACUGUAUCAAAUCUCUCACACAAAUCAUCAGUAAUAAGAUACUGUUUUGCAAAUUUCCAUUGAAAUAAUUGUGGGUCUUUCCAUUGCUUUUGAUACUUAUUUGAGUAUACAAUUCUUUUCUUUUGUAUCUCAUGCUGAUCCAACCCUGAAAAUUCUCCAGCGGUUUCUAUUGCUUCAAUAACAAUAGACAUGGAGGUGAGUAAAUUGUGUAUAUAAAACUGCACACAAUCUGUAUUUUUAUAAAGUGUAAUAGCUUUUGCCCACCAAUCCCUUGUUUCUAAGCAUUGCUUAAUGUAACCUUCUCCUUCUUUGAAUAUCCUAUGAAUUUCUCUUAAUGGUUGUUCUAGUAUUCUCCAUUUUGUAUGUUUCUCUUCAAAUUUUAAGUUCUGCUUCAUCUCUUCUGCAAUCGUUUCAUAUGCAGAAUUAAAUAUAUCAAUCAAUAAACAGCAUUGUCUCUGAUUAACUUGGAUAUUUUCACGAAACACCAUCAAGGCCUUCAGACUUCCCAUCACCUCUCCAAUUUGCCUCAAUUGUUCCAUUCUGCAACCUUUUUUGGCUCUCUCUGCAGAUGGGCAUUCGGUGCAAAAUUCAACAUUAAUGAAUCACAAAUUGCAAUUUUCUUUUUUUUCCACAAAAGCAGAAUAAAAACAAAUUUGACUUACCGGGAAAGAAAUGUAAAAUAGGAGAAAUGUCUUUGAUUGUAACUAUUUGGAGGAAAAUUGCUGAUCUCUACCAGAUAUUGUAGAAAUCAACAAUUUCCUCCACCGCUACAAUAUAGGAGUAGCAAAUUAUUAAUUUGAAAUCAGAAAGAAAAUUGAUCAAGCCAUAUAUAAUGCAUUUUCGUAUAAUUUCUGGAAUUUUCGAAAUGUUGCUGGAAAUGUUGAUCUGUAUCCUAGGAAAGAUGAGUUUGAUUAUGGCAGUUUUUAGGGAAAAAAGAGAAUAAUCUGGCACCCAUACUUGUCAUUUUGUUUUCAUUGUUGUCUGUUUUUGUUUAUGGUCCUGCGUUGCCAUUUUUGUUGUAAUUAGCUUCCACCAUCAUUGGUUUUGGUUUUUGCAGCCGCAACUGAAUUUUGAUUCAGUUACUCUAAAAAUGUAAACACAAAACCAACUCCAAACUAAAAAUCACACGCAAAUAUUACAAUGCAUCUAAACUUAAAUUACGCGUUACAGAUUUUUUUUAGUUUGUUAAUUAAAAUGAUGAUGAUGAUUAAUCCCAGUUAUAGUAAUAUAGGGAAUGACUUAUCUAACUCCUUGUGCAUGAACCCAUCUCUUACAUCAGAUUAAUUAAAACAAUUUUUUAGUUAAACUAGUGUAUUUCUGAGCAUGAGAAAAAUAAAACUAUAAUAAUUUUUUAAAAAAUAAUUUUUUUAUACUAUAGACAAAUUUAUCCAUAAAUAUAUAUUGUUUAAUUUAUUAAUUUAAACUAUUACAUUAAUAUAAAUAUUUAGAAUUAUUAUAUCAGAUUUGAAAUAAAUAUAAUAUAAAGUAAAAAAAAUCUCUCCCCGUUUCAACCCCUGAUUUUGGAUGCAGUCCACCCUUUUGAUCCAACCCUGUUGGUAGUAGCCAGCCAUAUAAUUAACGCACUGCGUUAGUAUGAAAUUAGCCGAAACGACGUCGUUCAUCGGACGCCAAAGCGCGGCGUUCCACUAUACCGGUCGGUUAAUCUCUCCGGCACUGUAGUAAACGAGUACCAGUCUUUCGCGCUUUCUCCUGUCUCGCUCGCCUUCGGAGGAUCAGAGAAGAAUAAAGAAAUGCAGUGGUCCAUUGUUGCUUCUCUCCUCACCAUUUUCACCAGCUCUCAGGUAAACAAGUUCAAUCGGAUACCAAACCUUAAUUUGUUUUCCUUAUUAAUUAUUUCACUGAUUCUAAACAUUGUCUUCAGCCAAACGCAAGCCCUAACACUGAAGCACUUCAUCUUCUAUUACGAUUAGUUACUCUAAAGUCUAUCCGAUAAUUCCAGCUUCUAAUUUAGUAAUCAAUAUCAAUUUUUUUAUUCAUUUUCAGGGGAUCUUAACUAAGUUAUCUCAAAGUAAUGGGAAAUACAAGUAUGACUAUGCGACUGUUCCUUGAGGUACUUACACACCACGUCGGUAUUUCUUAUUUAGGUCGAUAUGCUUUAUGAACUUGAAUUAUGGUGAGACGUUGGUUUGUGUUAUCGUCAACUAUCCAGCUUCUUGUUUCUAGUUUUCUUUUAUGGAGGGAAUGCCAGAAAUUUCCUCUUCCAAAGAUGACUACAGAUUGGAAGACUGUUCGAUUGUUUCCUAUUCCUUCCAUCAUUUACUUGAUCCACAACAAUGUUCAGUUUGCAACCUUGAUUUAUUUAGAUACAUCUACCUACCAAAUAAUGGCCAAUCUCAAGAUUGUCACCACUGGAAUUUUAUUCAGGUUAAUAAUUGCUUUUUUUUUUUUUUUGUCGGAUUAUUUAUUUUUUUGUUUUCUUCCUUCCUGCAUUAGUCUACUGCUUGGAAAUGAGUAGAUUUUACCUGUUUCCCGAUUAGGCUGUUCCUCAGGAGGAAGCUCUCUAAUCUGCAAUGGAUGGCAGUUACCCUCUUGGCUGUUGGAACAACCACAAGCCAGGUGCCACUGUAAACAGUCAUAUCUUUACGAAGCAUAAACCAAAUGUUAUCCUUUACGAAGCGAUAGUCAUAUCUUUUAGCAAACCAAAUAUAAUGUUGAAGGAUGGCGAUUUUCUCACAUUUUAUAUUCUAUUUACUGCAAGUUUCUUUCCAUGUGAUACAAAGCAAAGAUAACAUUAGCAUCUAACGAAGAAUGUGACCAUGCUGUUUGACUCUUCUCCUGUAUGUCGAUAAAGGUAAAGGGUUGUGAGGAAGCUUCACGUGACUCCCUUUUCUCUGCACCAAUUCAAGGGUACAUGUUAGGGGUUCUUUCAGCUUGUCUUUGAGCAUUAGCUGGCAUUUAUACUGAAUUCCUGAUGAAGCAGAACAAUGAUAGUUUAUACUGUCAGAAUGUACAAUUAUAUACGUAGGUAUCCUUUCUUUCCGCACUACUUAUCAUCGCUCAAUUGUAAGAAUUAUGGUUUCUUUAUAAACUAUUUGUUAAAUGCGAAAUUGUAAGAUGAUCUUGUCUUGAAAAAGAAAUAAAUAAAGAAAAAUCUCAUAUGAUGUAUUUUUCUCUUUACAUAUUUUCCCUUUCUCUCUUUGAUAGUGUGUUUCAAGUCUCCUAAUCGUAUUGACUUUGAAGGGACACAAAAAUACAACAAUUACCAAUUAAAGCAUUCAUCAUGGCAUCUAAAAGCCCAAGAUUAUUGUUCAUUCCCUUGGUCAUAAUGUACGUGCGGUGAAAUAGAUAGGUUUGUUAUUAGGCUAUUGAGAGCAUAUAGCUUCCAUAGGACCAUGGCUUUUAGGAUAAUUUUUCUGUGGGUGCAUAUAGGCUUUUUUCAUUUUCUUGCCAAUAGCUGAAUUCAAUGUCUUAGGGAGCUUUCUUAGAAUUCUUUUUAUCCAUUUUGGGAGAAUCUUGGUAAAAUCAUUGAGACAGACAAGAGUAGUAGUAUCAGGGAGGUAGACAGAGACGGGAAGGGAAAAUGGGUGAAUUCUGCUCCACUGGAUCAAUUAUUUUCCACUAGAAAGGUAUUGUUUUUAUUGGAAUCCUUGAAUUUGGAUAUGUUAUUUGAUACAAUAUGGAAAGUCAAAUACCAAUAAUUUAGGAGAAAAUUAAGCCUAAAAUCAAUAGAGCAGAAUAUUUUUGACUUUCCUAAACUAAUACAUGUAUACAGUAUAAAUUUAACAUUACAGAAGAAUGAAUGAUAAGAAAUUCUAUUCCUCUAAAUUAUCUUUCUUUCUAUCUUCUAUCAUGGUAUCAAAGCUGGUUCUUCAAUCCAGAAGGAGAGAACCAGCAAUCAUCAUCUACCAAAAUCCCUCCUUGAAUUGAUCCUUCAAAGCCAAACCAAAUAAUGUCAGAAAGUGAUUCUGAAAACAAUUCCAACACGACUGGUAAUACUAAAUCAAUGUUACCAGACGAUAUAGCCCUCCAAUUUGCGAAUCUGUUAAAGCAAACUCUUCAAACAGAUUUGACAAUAGCCACAAAAUUAACAGGAGAUAAUUAUGCUAUCUGGGCUCGGUUGAUGCGAGCAGCAAUAGGAGGAAAGGGAAAAACAAAAUACCUGUCCUCUAAUCCUCCUCCAAACACAGAUCCUACCUUUCAAUUAUGGGAUCAAGAGGACCAAAUUGUGUUUACCUGGAUCAUUCAAAAUAUUGAUUCCAGUCUGGUAAACAGUGUGAUAAACUACCCUACUGCCAAAACCUUGUGGGAAGGUUUAGCCACAACAUACGGCAGUGGUGUAGAUUCGUUACAAACAUACGAUUUACACAAGAAGGCAAGUAUCAUCAGACAAGGCAAUGGGACUCUUGAAGGGCUGUGGAGCACACUACAGGGGUAUUGGCAGACAAUUGAUCGUAGACAGCCAAACCCCAUGAGAUGUCCAGAAGAUAUAGCAGAAUUCAAUAAAUAUGUCAAUGAGCAACGAUUAUACCAGUUUUUGACGGCAAUCGAUGAGAGGUUCGAAUCGGUCAGGAAGGAUCUUUUGAAACAGGAGCCUAAACCCUUAGUAGAGGCUGCAUAUGCCUCGGUUCGUCGAGAGGCCGCAAGAAUCCAAGUACUGAAACCUGCUACCUCCGGCGACGAUGAUACAUCAUCAGGUGGCAUAAGUUCGGGCCUGAUCGCAAAACCAGUGAAUCGAAGCAGAAUGUCUGGACAGCAAAAGAAUCGAUCAGAUUUCUCAAAUCGUAGAAGCUCAUCACAGGAAGAUCGCUUAAAACUUCAAUGUUCUCAUUGUGGUAUGAAAAAGCAUACCAAGGAGGGUUGUUUUGAACUAAUUGGUUACCCUGACUGGUGGGAGAAUGGGAACCGAAUUAAAAAGAAAGGUACAGGUAAAGCAAAUACAGCUUCGGGCAACCAAGAGGCUACCGGCAAAACUGAAAGCAGCGAGAAUUGUGGCGGAGGAACAAGCCAAGCGGGGAUCACUGCUAUGGCAAGCGGCGGCGCUGGAAGCUUCGGUAAGAACCCUAAAAUUCUCUCAAGUAAUGAAAGAGAUGGGGAUGUGGGAAAUAAACUACCCACUAGGCCAUAUUUCAAAAGAGAAGAAGGGUCUAUGCUGUUCGGCCCACUACCAAAGCCAAUAAACCGGACCAAAAAGGAAGAACAAGUGGAGCCAGCCCAAUUAAAUUCUGCUCAGAUUCAGCCCAGUCCGGAAAAAGAAAAUAAAUGGAUUCUUGACUCGGGUGCCUCACAUACCGUCACUCACGAUGCUUCAGAUCUUAUUACCUCAGAAAUUCCAGAAAAAAACUUCAUACAAAGUGCAAAUGGCAUGUUGUCAAAAGUGGAAAAUGCUGGAAAAAUUAAAUUCAAUCCUAAAAUGGAAUUGGAGCAUUGUCUUUAUGUCCCCUCACUCUCGCAUAAACUUUUAUCAGUCAGUCAUAUUACUAAAGAACUGAAUUGUGUGGUUCUCAUGUAUCCUCAAUUUUGUUUUUUGCAGGACAUUCAUACGAAGGAGAUCAUUGGGCGUGGUACUGAGUUUGACGGACUGUAUUAUGUCGAUGACGUGGUAAAAAAGGGGGCUGUAUUACUUGCUCAUGGAACUGAGGAUAGACAAAUUUGGCUAUGGCAUAGAAGAUUGGGACAUCCGUCGGCAAGUUAUUUACGGUUCUUAUUUCCUACUUUGUUUAAAAAUAGGAACUCUUGUUUGAAUUGUGAGACUUGCAUACUUGCGAAAAGUCACCGUGUUUCAUUUCCUUUAAACAAUACUAGACUUGAUAAAGCAUUUAGUUUGAUUCACUCUGAUGUUUGGGGUCUUGCUCCAUGCUCUACUGGUUUUCAAUAUUUUGUGUUAUUUGUGGAUAAUUUUUCUCGCAUGACGUGGGUGUAUUUUUUAAAGCAUAAAUCUGAGGUGUUUGAAAAAUUUGUUGCAUUCUUCCACAUGAUUCAAACUCAAUUCCACCGAAAAAUUAAAAUUCUCCGUUCUGACAAUGGCACUGAAUAUGUCAACGGAGCCAUGAAAAACUUCUUCCUUGAAAAUGGUCUAAUCCACCAAACUACAUGUCCCUAUACACCACAACAAAAUGGUGUUGCUGAACGUCGAAAUAGAACCCUUCUGGAUAUGACACGAGCAAUGCUUAUCGAGUCCCGUGUUCCGAAAUUUUUUUGGCCAGAAGCCCUUGCUACUUCCGCCUACCUUCUGAACCGGUUACCCACAAAGAUUUUGGAUCAUAAAACACCCUUACAAGUCCUUGGUAGUCAAGUAGACGUUCCCCAAGCUUUAUCUUUGCCUCCACGGAUUUUUGGGUGCUCUGUUUUCGUUCACAUUCCAAAAGGGGAUAGAACUAAACUAGACCCUUGUGCAAUCAAGUGUGUUUUUAUGGGAUAUGCACUUCAUCAGAAGGGGUACAGGUGUUAUAGUCCUAGUACACGCAAGACCUAUGUGACUAUGGACUGUAACUUUGUCGAGACUGAAUAUUACUAUAUUGCCCAUUCUAGUGGUCAGGAGGAGAACAAUAGUGAUCCACUAGCAUGGUUGAACAAUAGUGCUAUCUUAGACAGUGCUAUUCCAGAAUCAAAUAAGCUUGCAAAUGAAUCUAUCAGACAAGAAUCAGAAGGUGACACACACUCAGUACCACAAGAAGUGCCAUCUUUACCCAAUGUCUCUCCUUCUGAAGAUGUCCAACUAGAGGUAAGUGAGGAAUCACACUCCUUUAGUAAUAAUGAUUUGAUUGAUACUAACUCUGAACAGGAGAUCCAAGAAGAAAGAUACCAUCUGCCUCCAAGAAGUACUCGUGGGAUUCCACCAAGAAGGUACUCUCCUGAAAGAGUUACUAGAGGUUUUAGAUACCCCUUGGAACAUCUAGUGAGGGGUAGGACCAGUGAAGCUGUAAAAACUUUCUCGCUUUCCAUUCAUGAGGUAAUUCCGAGAUCAGUAGAGGAGGCAAAGCAAAAAAAGGAAUGGUGGGAAGCAAUGAAAGAAGAAAUGAAGGCUCUGGAAAAAAAUGGAACAUGGGUAACAUGUGAACUACCAAAUGGGAAGAGACCUGUAGGGUGCAGAUGGGUGUUCACUAUUAAGCAUAAGGCUGAUGGGACAGUUGAAAGAUACAAGGCCAGACUGGUUGCAAAAGGCUACACUCAAACCUAUGGCAUAGAUUACUCAGAAACCUUUUCUCCAGUUGCAAAGAUAGACACAAUUCGGGUGUGAAUCGAAGCAGAAUGUNNNNNNNNNNNNNNNNNNNNNNNNNNNNNNNNNNNNNNNNNNNNNNNNNNNNNNNNNNNNNNNNNNNNNNNNNNNNNNNNNNNNNNNNNNNNNNNNNNNNNNNNNNNNNNNNNNNNNNNNNNNNNNNNNNNNNNNNNNNNNNNNNNNNNNNNNNNNNNNNNNNNNNNNNNNNNNNNNNNNNNNNNNNNNNNNNNNNNNNNNNNNNNNNNNNNNNNNNNNNNNNNNNNNNNNNNNNNNNNNNNNNNNNNNNNNNNNNNNNNNNNNNNNNNNNNNNNNNNNNNNNNNNNNNNNNNNNNNNNNNNNNNNNNNNNNNNNNNNNNNNNNNNNNNNNNNNNNNNNNNNNNNNNNNNNNNNNNNNNNNNNNNNNNNNNNNNNNNNNNNNNNNNNNNNNNNNNNNNNNNNNNNNNNNNNNNNNNNNNNNNNNNNNNNNNNNNNNNNNNNNNNNNNNNNNNNNNNNNNNNNNNNNNNNNNNNNNNNNNNNNNNNNNNNNNNNNNNNNNNNNNNNNNNNNNNNNNNNNNNNNNNNNNNNNNNNNNNNNNNNNNNNNNNNNNNNNNNNNNNNNNNNNNNNNNNNNNNNNNNNNNNNUAUGCACUCUCCACAGAAGGAGCACAUGGAAGCUGUGACGAGGAUUGUGAGGUAUCUCAAGGGAACUCCUGGACAUGGAAUCUUGUUCAGAGACAAUGAACACUUGGAAAUAGAAGCUUACACUGAUGCUGAUUGGGCAGGAAAUCCAAAUGAUAGAAAAUCCACUUCUGGUUACUUCACUCUGGUUGGUGGAAAUCUGGUAACUUGGCGUAGCAAGAAACAAAAGGUGGUUGCUCUUUCAAGUGCUGAAGCUGAGUUCAGAGGAAUUGCCAGAGGAGUAAAAGAGGUAUUAUGGCUAAAAAAAAUUCUUGAUGAAUUGGGUUUUCCACCUCAAGGCCCAGCCAAACUAAAGUGUGAUAACAAGGCAGCCAUCAGCAUUUCUGGAAAUCCUGUCCAACAUGACAGGACAAAGCAUGUAGAAGUUGAUAGACACUUCAUCAAGGAGAAACUUGAAGGAGGUAUCAUCGAGCUUCCAUUUGUGAGGUCUGAACACCAGUUAGCCGACAUUUUGACGAAGGGAGUUACAACUCAAUCUUUUCAUGAAGUAUUGGGCAAGUUGAACAUUGGAAAUCCCGCUGAUCAACUUGAGGGGGAGUGAUACAAUAUGGAAAGUCAAAUACCAAUAAUUUAUGAGAAAAUUAAGCCUAAAAUCAAUAGAGCAGAAUAUUUUUGACUUUCCUAAACUAAUACAUGUAUACAGUAUAAAUUUAACAUUACAGAAGAAUGAAUGAUAAGAAAUUCUAUUCCUCUAAAUUAUCUUUCUUUCUAUCUUCUAUCAUUAUUUCUAUAUCAUCAGAGGGUUUCACAUCUGUUCGAGGAAUUAGUGAAAAGUGAUUAAGCUGACUAAGAUAAAUUCAGUCGUUUGAUGCUGUUAGAGGAUAAUUUCAAUAAUGGAGAUUCUUUAUCGAGGUUUGGUGCAAUUUUUAACUUGGCUUGGCUCGGCUCUCCUGGAUGAUUUCAGAGGCGGGUUUGAGAAGGGGCCAUGGUGGCAACGCCUUUUCAAUGGAUACACCAUCACAACCUGGAUGGUAGUGUUAAAAUCUUGGGUGUUCUGGACUUCUGGUCUCAUGGUUAAUGAAAUUUGCUGACAAUAUUGUCAAGGUAUCUCCUUUUGUUCUAUUGUGACUUUGUGGUUGUUUAUGUGUGUAAUAUUUCUUCAUAAUUUUCUCCAAGCACUUUUUGACUAGAAGUUGUUUCCUUAUUAGUUUGUAGAAGCUAGUCUAUUUUGACAUCCUGAUCCAUUCUUCUUGUUAAAUUUUGCAUUUCAUGUUUUCCAAAGUUCUUGUCACAGCUAUUUCUUUGUUUUAAUUUAUUUUAGGUGUAUUCAACAUGAAUGGCAGUGCUGUUGACCAUGGUUCUUUCUGUGUUCCUGUUUAAUUUCAGGCCAACAUUGCAGGUAAGUGCCCCCCCUCCCCUCCUCUCUCUCUCUCUCUCUCUCCUCGUGCACCCCUCACUGUCCCUUGUCUUACUACUAAAGUGGCUUGCCUCACUCAGCUAGGCACCCAAGUCCUCUCAUAGUGCCUAGACAAGUGCCUGGACCUGGACAUUAGGAAGGUCAGGUGCUUGCCUUAUUCAAUUGUUGGCUUACAACGUCUUUGUCCCUGGGGAGAAUGCAUCAAAAUAUUAAAUAAAAUAGAAACAAGCAGAUAUUCCACUUGCCUUUACUUAUGGCAAAAAUUACUGUCUUUUCCUUGAACAAUAAAAAGAUGGGAAAAAAGGAAAAUGCUAGAGAGGAGAAGAUUUUGGUUAAGAGGUUCCAACAAAGGCCAAUUAUUUUACUUUCCUUUUUGAAAGUUUCUGCUGCCGCGUGUUAUUUUUCCUCCAACUGGGAAGAGAUGUCUGUUUCUUUAUUUUUGUGCGGUUCGAAUUUAGUGUUCCCUUAGCUUUUGGUUUGAAAAGGAUUCUUCUCUUUUAAUGUGCCUAUCGGGCUCAUUAUUCGAUUGGAAAAAGAAGGUUUACUUUAAGUACUGUUGGGUAAUUAUGUUCAUAUUCAUAUUCUCUUUCUAACAUCAUCUGACGCUCUUUUGGGCCUUCUCUGUUCCCCAGUUUGUUUAGCAAUUGUGAGAUUCUGAUCAUAGGAUACUUCACAUUUUUUUUUCUUAUGCUGGUGCAGCUGUUCUUGGGGAUUAUUGUUUGCACCCCCAGGUAUGCUUGUGGAUCUGCCUUCCGUGAGAGAAGCAGAUCCAGAGAGUCUUGUAGAUAUUUCGGUUGAAAGAAGAACGAACUCAUGAUGCGCUAUUUCUGUUGAAAGCUAAAAAUUCUUUGGUUAGUUUUUCAGUGAACUAAAUAUUGUUAAACGGAGCAUAUAAUUCCUGGUGAAGUGCUUAGAAAAAAGCCAUUUAUUUCUCUAAUUGCCGAUAUAUUAAUAUCCUGGCUCAUCUGGCAAUUGGCAUUCUUGUAUGGCCAAAAGACGAGAGAAAAAUAUAAAUGUAUAAUAGUACUGAAAACAACAAUAUCUGGCUAUUUGAUUUCCAGUGGGGUCUUUGGCCAUCUAUUGCCGGGAGUUGCGACCACCUACCGACAGCUAUAGUAGAAGAAGUUGCAGCCAUUAUAUGUGGUCUAUAUUGCUCUGUAGUUGUUCCAUGUUCUUCAUAAGUCAUAACCAUUUGUGUUAAUAAUGCAAUGACCAUUAUAUUCAACAGUUUACUCUGCACAGUAAAUGCUCUUCAAUUGUUGAGGCAAUUAAUGCCUCCCUCCCUCAUUUUCAUAGAGGUAAUUUGUGCAGAAGAAGAUUUUGACGAAUAGUUGCAUUGACUGGACAAUGCUUGUAGGUAUUGAUCUGUUGCUUUCUAUCUUAUUAGACCUCUAGAUUUGAUAUUCUUUUUUUUUUUUUUUUUUUUCAAGAGAUUUUUGGUAGUGUCAUUGCACUCAUAACGUUUUAGAACGUGAGUACAUUUUUAUUUUAUUUUUUUUUAUUUCAAUUAAUUCACCUUUAUAAUUUAUUUACUCAUAUUUUUUGAAUUUCUUCGUCUGAUAUUCUGUAUUUACAUUUUACAUUCUUUGUUUCUAAAUUAUUCAAAUACAAUCUCAAGUGCAAUAGUUGUCGCUACAAUAUGAAAGUGCCUGAAGCUUCUGGAAUGGAUUUUGUUUUUUAUUUUUAAAAGGCUAGAAAACACCAAUGAAGAAAAGGGAGUUGGUUAUCUUCUUCCUCGUUAAUCAAUAAUAGCAAUAAAUCAUGUCAAUUCAGUCUUUUUCUUUUAUGAGCACUGAAUUUAGAUGAGACGUGUAAGAGAAGAUUCUAGAAGAAAUUGAAUUAUGUUAAUUAAGCAUCAUUAAUUUUAAAUCUUCUCCUCAAAUGGCCGAAAAGAAAAAGAAAAAUAAAAAUUGUUGGCAUUUCAUGCGCUCACUGGUAAGUCUGGAACACACAAUCAUGUCCUCAACCUCAAGUAAACAAUUUGUUAACAUCAACCCUUUACUAGUUGAUAUGCAUCGUGACCAUGUAACUAACUCUAGUCAAAUUCUUGAUUGGCAAGAAAAGUCUACUGAUAGUUGAUUACGUGGAAAUGAAAAAACGUUUUUUAACAUUAUUGCUGACAAUUAGGCACUCAAAAUUGCCCAACAUUCAGAUAUUUUCUUUACGUAACAGUAACAACUCAAUAUCAACUAAGAAAUUAUUUUUGUCAUUUCAAAAAAACAAAAAUAAAAUUAUUUCUGUCCAUGUUGACGCGGGCCCAAUCAUUUAAUUUUGGGUCCGAUUGAACAGCAGAUCUUCUUUUUUGGGGGUCCAAAGGUAAUAAUUGCAAAUUCACUGUAUGCGGAUCUAGUUAAUAUUAUUUUAAAGUUUUUCGACUUAUUUUGCUUUGCAUUCAUAUUAUGUAGAUGGGAGCCGGUAUUGGGAAAAAAUGAUUCAUAUAGUUAACCUAACUAAUUGGAGUUAAGACUUUGUUGUUAUUGGUUGUGUUGAAUGGUCAAAAAUACCCUAUUUCUUUCAUUUAUUACUAUUUAACCACCAUUGAAUUGACCAUAAUUAGCUUCGUGUAUACAAAUAAAUCACUUUGAAAGAACUAUAAAUCUAAUCUGGUGUCAAGACCUACGAGUCAAGGACAGAAAAAUCUCUACGGAGCGUAGACCGCCCGCUUGUGUAGGACUAGAUCUUGGUACUAGUCCAUAACUAUCAAGUCGAGUAGUCUGAUUUUGCCAUAGCCAGCUGUUCUUUCUCUUUGGACCGUUAUUUUCUUCUCUCAAGUUAAAACCAAUGGAGUACUUAACACGUAGCGCAGCAAAGCAAUUAUAAAAUCUUAUUAUUAAGAGAGAGAAGCAUUGUUUUCUCAGUAAUUACUUGCAAUAUUGCAUUACCUCGACAAUGUUAGUUACCCCACAUCACAUUCCACCCUCUCAGUCUUCCUUUCUUUCAAUUCUUAAAUCUCACCUACCAAUGCCCAUACACGUUAACUAAAGCCUUCUUCUUCCUCUAUAAAACCCCUCUAACUUGCUGUAUUUGCCCCAACCUACAAGCUGACUAGUUAUUGGGCAAAAACUAACUAAACAUGGAGUCAGUAGCCAGGGCAACUACAAACAUAGAGAGCCAACCGAAUGGAAAGCACGGAAAGGAUCGGUGUGGGUACUUUCAGAUGCCGUUGCACUACCCGAGAUACACCGAAGUAGAGUACCGGAAGAUGCCAGAGUGGAAGAUUGAUUGCUUGCUCAAAGAGUAUGGCCUGCCUAUUACUGGAGAUGUUGAGCACAAAAGAAAUUUCGCCAUGGGAGCUUUUCUUUGGCCUCACUGAAUUUUACAACUAAUCUAAUGUUAAUUGCGCUUAUGUUCAGCUAGUUACAUGUAGAACUGUAUGUCGGGGAAUUUUGAGUGUCUAGUUUGAGAUAGGAGGUUUAAAUGUCUUGAUUUGAUGUUUGUGAGUGAAGAAUUGGUGGAUUGCAUUACUUAAAUUAUACUUAAAGCACUGUACACUGCUCUGUGUGCUUAAAAGCAUAAUCUACCACCAAGAGAAAAAAAAAAAAAAUACUCUUUAUGUUUUUUUCUGUUAUAUAUUUUUCCUUUUCCGAAAUAUUAAGGAGGGUGAAAAAUCCAGAAAACUUCUGCUCUAUCUUCAUCUAAUGAAGCAAGAUACAAUUGAUCUUCUUCUUCUUCUUCUUCUUCUUCUUCUUUUUUUUUUUUUUUGGAAUAUUAAGAGGAUGUGAAAACCGCAAAGCCGCAAAGCUAUCCGCAUCCAUCAAGCUUCAAACCUGUAUUUGAGCAUUUACUAAAAUUCAAGUUACAAAUCCUGGAAGUACUAAUUUCUGUAUGCAUCUUUAAAAUCUACAUACAUAUAGAAAGAUCCAUAGCAGACCUAUGGUGAUUUAUUGAUCUCCGAUUUAUUUUGGAGGGUACCCCGAGAUAGCAAUACUAAUACUAUUAUGAAAGACUCGCGAGAUAACGGUUUUAACAUCUCUAAUUUUGCAUUGCAAACCCACGAUUACUAUUGAAAAUAUAUACACAAGAUUAAUGGUCCAUGUUUACGAGAUGGAAAAUUUUGUGUAAUUGAAUAGGCCCAAAGCAAUUAGAGGGCCCAAUCCAAAUCCAUUAGUAAAGAGUUUUACAUACCCGGCCCAUUUAAGUAAAGGACACACUGUGUGCACGAUAUUACUAGUCGCAGGUGAUAAUCUAGCGGCAAAGGCACUCCCCAGACCCCAGUCUCCAGUGCUCACUGUAUAUAAAGGCCUUGACAGUGCCCGUAAGUCAAAAUUUCGCGAAUUUCACCUUCCACAUUUUAAUUUCCCUCUUCUCUCUACUUUUUAAAUACAGUACGCGCCAGAUACAAAAACAUUUGUCUCUGAUUCGAAACCCUAGUUUUCCCGAGAAAAGGAAGAUAAGAAACAGGAGAGAAUGCCUCGAGAAAUCAUCACACUGCAGGUAGGACAAUGCGGGAACCAGAUCGGAAUGGAAUUCUGGAAGCAGCUCUGCCUCGAGCAUGGUAUCAGCAAAGAUGGCAUUCUCGAGGAUUUCGCUACUCAGGUCCAUCACUUUCCACUUUCUCAUAUGUAUUUUUUUUCUGCUUAUUUGCUGAGAAAUUUGAUAGCUAGAAGGUAUACUAGUCUCUAUUGCUGAGCGGGUACAGUUUUCUUAAAGCAGCUGAAUGGCUGCGCCAUUAGGUUAGGACGCUAAUUUGCGGUUCCUAAGAAUUCUAUGUAAUGGGUUUUGCUUCUAGUGGUGGUUUUCUGCUAUGCGUUUAGUAAGUACUGAUACAAAUAUGUAUCUAGGUUAAUUUUGGUACUUUUUAUAGUUUGAAACUACUUGUAUUGUCAUUUAUUCCGUUUGUCUAUAAAUUAUAUUCGUUUAUCUGUCCACGGAGGAUGUUUUACUGGGAAACAAAGUGGUUGAGGGAAUUCAGGUAACCUUCUCAUUUAGCUGGAAGUCAUUUGUUGAAUUGAGUGGGAUUGUACAGUUUGGUCUGCAGUUAUAAAUGGCUCAUUUUAAAGCUUUAUUAAUAAGAUUUUUUUUGGGCAAUUGUGAGAUUGAUAUAAUGAAGCAGAUCUUGUUUUAAAUGUUUGGAGAAUUGUUGGAUAUCGCAUGUGUGUCAGUAUUUCUUUUAGUGGUGCUAUAGGUAGUUGGAAACUUUGCAAUCUUGUUCAGCUAUUUGACAGCAAAAAUUUUGGUAAGCAUUACUCUAUGUGGUGCUAUUAACCUAGGAUUUUUCUUAAUCAUUUUCUUUAAUCUAUGGUGCUUUAGGGAGGUGACAGGAAAGAUGUGUUUUUCUAUCAAGCUGAUGAUCAACAUUACAUACCACGAGCUUUACUAAUAGAUUUAGAGCCCAGGGUAAUCAAUGGUAUACAAAACAGUGAAUACCGAAAUCUAUACAAUCAUGAGAACAUCUUUGUUUCAGAUCACGGUGGUGGUGCUGGAAAUAACUGGGCAAGUGGAUAUCAUCAGGUUUGUUGCUUGGUUUCCCUAUUCUAUGAAUAUCUCCAUAUUAUUUGUGGUUGUCCAGAGUCAAAGGUUUUGGUUUCCCUAAAGGUCAAUGUUGAGGUGCUACUAUCAUUGACGAAGUUUUGUUCAUCAUAUGGGAUUUUCUUUGUUCGUUGGUGAUCAGGGGAAGGGAGUCGAAGAGGAUAUAAUGGACAUGAUUGAUAGAGAAGCUGAUGGAAGUGAUAGCCUUGAGGGUUUUGUUCUGUGCCAUUCAAUUGCUGGAGGAACAGGCUCAGGUUCACUGGAUUUUUUUUUUUUUUUCUCUUUCUUAUUAGGGUUUUGAAAUCCACUGCAUACACUUUAGUGGCCACAUGAUUUUCAUGCAAUUAGUACCAUUUAAGCAAUGGAAUUCAAACAUAUGUUUUUGCUGUCUUUCUAAUGUGUUGUUAAGUGCUCUCUCUCUUUUAUGAUGAAGGUAUGGGUUCAUAUCUGUUGGAAACUCUGAAUGAUCGCUACAGCAAAAAGUUGGUUCAGACAUAUAGCGUAUUUCCUAACCAAAUGGAGACAAGUGAUGUGGUGGUCCAGCCCUACAACUCACUUUUAACGCUCAAGAGACUGACAUUAAAUGCUGAUUGUGUCGUUGUUCUUGACAACACUGCACUGAAUAGAAUUGCUGUUGAACGGCUACAUCUGUCAAAUCCUACAUUUGCUCAAACUAACUCUUUGGUCUCUACUGUUAUGUCUGCAAGCACAACAACAUUGCGGUAUCCUGGAUAUAUGAACAAUGACCUGGUUGGUCUUCUCGCCUCUUUAAUUCCAACACCAAGAUGCCAUUUUCUUAUGACAGGAUAUACACCACUCACAGUUGAGCGCCAGGUAAGAUUCUGACCUGAUAUUGUUUUCUUAAUACCUUUUUUUUAUGAUCUUAUUUUGGGUCAUUCAUAUUUUCAUGAUUCGUUAUGUAAUUAAUGCAAAGUCUUGAUUGGCCAAUAUUUAGAAUCUCUGAACUCAUGAAUUUUCGGGGCACUGAAGCCGAGUUCUACAUAAUGAAACAGUUCGUUAGAUCUCAUGAUAUUGCUUAUGUUCUUUCAAUAUCUGUUGUUUGUAUAUUAUGCUGAUAAUGUGGAAGUCUAAUUAAAAUGUCUUGGCAGGCUAAUGUGAUUCGUAAAACUACUGUGCUGGAUGUUAUGAGGAGACUUCUGCAGGUGAGAAAUUUCACAUGUAAAUGCAUCCAAUGGGGACUGUUAAGCAUUUUCUUUAUUCUGGUACUUUCUGCAGACGAAGAACAUUAUGGUGUCCUCUUAUGCGCGAACAAAAGAAGCCAGUCAAGCAAAGUACAUUUCCAUAUUGAAUAUCAUUCAAGGAGAAGUGGACCCUACUCAGGUAAGAAUAUUACACUGUUCAUGAGCUUUUUAGUGCAAUGUUUUCAUCGACAGGCAAGUUCCUUAUUAAACGAUGAUUAUGUUUUCUAGUAAUUAGGAAUGCGUUUUAUAAGGAGGUUUUAUCUGUAUUUGUGGUUCAGUAACUCCUAUUGCCACUUUCAUCUAUCCAUUUUACAUGUGACAGUAACCUUCAAUAACUUUUUCACAAAAUGGAUAAAGUUUUGGGCCUGCGCCAACUUCCUUUUCAAAUUGUUGUGUUUAAACCAGGUGUUUUGGUUAUUAACUGACAAAUUUUAUUUGUUUCUGGAUUUUCUCUAUGCACUAUUGGAGAUGCUUGACUGUUACUAUUUAAGAUCUAUCCUUCCCAACAUUUGACUUGUUAGCUUAUUGCAUAUUGGGCAGAACUUGUGUAAGUAGUAAGAUAACCUGUUUCUUAUUCUAGCUUUAGGUAAAUGUUUUUAGCUUAUUUAGGUUUCAUUUGUCUUUCCUAAUGCGUCUUGCUUCUUACAUGUUGCUUUUUGAAGAUUAUUGAAAGGCCGGCUGCAUUAUUUCUUAUAUUUGGAAAUUCAUGUGUGGAAGUAAUAUAUCUAUGUUUCUCAUAAACAAUUUCAGAAUUGUUGUUUUGCCUACUUUUUUAUCAGGUUCAUGAAAGCUUGCAAAGGAUUCGUGAAAGAAAGCUUGUGAACUUCAUUGAGUGGGGCCCUGCUAGUAUACAGGUUCUUCUUAACAAUGAUAAUAAUAAUAUUUUCAGCAUUCUGUCUUCCAAUAUCUGAUUCAAUUUAUGUUUCUUGUUUUUUGGUAGGUUGCUCUGUCAAGAAAGUCUCCAUAUGUCCAAACCGCCCACAGAGUAUUACACUAUUUCUUGUCUUGUCUUUACUUGAUCUCAUAUGUUCAUUUUGAUAUAUGGUUCUUUAAAAUUUUUGAAAGAGCAUAAAGUUUUUUAGCACAUGUUAUUUGAAUUUUGUGAGGAUUUGUAAGAUAGUUUGCUUUGUUUAUCGGAAUGAUAGUUCAAAUGUUGAGGAACAGUAAACUUAUGCAUGCUGCAUUUAUAGGUAAGUGGUCUCAUGCUAGCAAGCCAUACUAGCAUCCGGCACCUAUUCAGCAAAUGUUUGAGCCAAUAUGAGAAGCUUAGAAAGAAACAAGCUUUUCUUGAUAAUUACCGGAAAUUCCCAAUGUUCGCUGUAAGUUACCUACACUAUGGCUGUCGUGCAUUUCAAGUCCUGUUAUCUGUUUAUGGAUUCUGGCAUACCUUUUAAGAGUAAUUGCUGCAGUGCCCUCAUUAUCUGAUGCGAUGUAAAAUGUGAUCAGGACAAUGAUCUUUCUGAAUUCGAUGAAUCAAGGGACAUAAUUGAGAGUUUGGUUGAUGAAUAUAAAGCCUGUGAAUCUCCAGAUUAUAUCAAAUGGGGAAUGGAGGUAUAAACUCUGCUGGUCCUUUCUUCUCUUAUUUCAUAUCUUGCUAAAUGCUGAGAACUAGAUGCUCUAACGCAGGAUCCUGACCACGUUCUAACUGGAGAAGGCAAUGCUACAGGAACUGUGGAUCCAAAUUUAGCAGUUUGAACAUAGUAAGUUAAAGACUAUGUUUCUGUGGACUUGCUUGGGCUAUUAUUUGCUAUGUGUUCUCAUGAGCAAAACUAGUUAAAUUAUACAAAAUACAUAUUGGCAUUUAAUUCACUUGGAUUGGGGGCUGCUUCUGUUGAUAUGGAAAGACUUACUAAAGCAUAUAUUGCAAUUUGUAACUUCCAAUAACAUAACUCAUAAAUUAUAGAGUAAUUUUUAUGAAUAGCAAGAGUAUGCAAACUCAUAGCAAGGUUUUCUAGCAUCUUGUCCGUUUGAUUUACUCUAAUAGUUGUUUUUUGCUUUGUUCAUUUUCCCUUCCUGCAGAUAUGUAACUUGCUUUGAAGAUUCCCAAUUACAGGAAGUAAUGGUGCUAAAUGCACACUGGAGGACUGGCUGUAAAUAAAUGUAGACAGAUUGACAUCAGAAUUCUUCCUGUUUCGCGGGAAGCUUGAUGGUUUGUGGUGUGCUAAUUUUUUGGCUGUUUGAUUUUGUUAAGCUUCUUCCUCUAAAUCUUCAUUGGCAAAAUGGAGAUUCAGAAUCCCACUGUAUCAAGUUUCACGGAGUUUAAUGUUUGAUUGGCAUCUGAUAGGGAAUACAAGCAAUACUUGUCACCAAACUAUUGCUUGGAUCUCGUAGGGUCUAGAGGGUAUUUGUAUCUUUUGUGGGGGGGGGGGGGGGGGGGGGGGGGUAAAUGAAUAAAAUUAUUCUUAUAAUUUAUUACAUCAUUUCACCUUGUAUCUUGCAACAUAACAUGUGCAGCAUGAUACGUGGUCCCAUAUGUGCUAGGCUGCGAAUGGUCUAACAGUGUUUUUUGGCAAAGGUAGUGACUAUCAUGUCCACAUUUUUGCUUAAACAUGAUGUGAUGGUUUACCCGUGCUGCUGAGUGGCUUUGUGGUGGUAGUGUACGAGUCCACAGAUAUUAUGGAAUACAUUCUGUCGAAUGGUUUUUGUGCUUCUCACUUUGCGCGUACAUUGCUUGAGACGUUAAAGAUAAUCCAAAGUGAUUAGUUUCAUGUACCUGUUAACGCAUUGCAAAUUUUGAAUUUCGUUUGAGAAGAGGGUUGGGACUUUUAAGGGUAGGGUAAAGUUAUUGGGUUGUUUGAGAAGAGGGUUUGAAAGACUGAUAGGUAUUUUUAUGUUUAUUUGUUAAAAGUCUAAAAUUACUCUUUUUCUAUUCCUGCUCGAUAAAUUUUUUAUCUCUCCACACUGCAUCCCAGUAGACAUCAAAGAGCCUUUGACUACAGAACCGGGUGAGUUUGAUGAAAUCAUAGGAUCCCUUGCAUCAAUGUCACAUUGAGCCGAUGGAAUAUUUUUUUAAACCCAGCUGGCAUCCUUUUUGGACUGACCUUUCUGCGCAAUUAUUAAUAAACUAUAUUUUAUACCAAAUAAAAAUGUAGUACUAUAAUUUAAUAUCAUGAAUCAUUUAUUAAAUAUGUUAGGUAGUUAUUUUCUCUUCUAUUCGCUUUGGCCUAGUUGGAAACCAUCCAAAUGGUUUGCCACGAAUUGGGGUUUCUACUUUCUAUUAUUAGAGCAGGCCAACGUUUACCAAAUAUGUUUUUCAUUUUCUUUCAGAAAGAGAAAACUUAAAAACCAAUUAUUUUAUUUACAAAAUUAUUAUGUUAAUCCAUUAUUUUAGAAUGUUGGGUUGUCAUAGGUUGUCUUUCUGUCAAGCUCACUUCGCAUCUUUUCGUUGGUAUAGCACCAAUUCGUCAUUAACAAUUGUUUAGAGCAAACUCAUUCCUAUUGUUAUAAAAUUGAUUUUUUUUUCCUUUUUUGAAUCGUUAUAAAAUUGAUAGUUAACUUGAUAAUUUUUAAAAAUGUCUUGAACUAAAUAAAUUUGUAUUAGAGAGGUUUAAAUCAUCGAAAUUUGCAUAUUAGGUAUGUCAAAUUUAAACAGCAACACAAACAAAAAAAUCAACCUCGAUAAUAAUCGUCAAACCAUGAUAACCUUCUGAAACUUGAAUUUGAAAAUUCGUUGCGGAUCUCCUUCCAUUCCAUUUCAAAAUAUUACAAAAGUGAUGAAAUUAGCCGUUAAGUCCGUUACAAGAGAGAGAGAGAAUAGAUUAGUAGGUAAGAAAGAGGAACUAAUGAGUCAGCGACAACUAUGCUGACAGCCUGUAACCAAAAGAAUUAAAAAGAUCGACCACAUGGCAUUGCCAUAAAAGAAAUUGACUCAGAAAAAAUUAAAAAAUUUUAAAUUCCUAAAAUGUCCCAUAAUGCAUUGUUGUUGUUUCGGCAUAAUAUAAGGAAGAAAAUCUAAAGUGGACCCCACACCAAACACAGUAGAAUUGUAAUUACCUAACGGAACUAGUAAACAAACAAAACAAACAAACGUCUCAAAUCUUUGAUUAGUAUUUACCCAUCGUGAUCUGCUGGAUUUCUCCCCAUCGCAAACUUCUUCUGUUUAUUUAAAUUCUCCCUCUCCUUCUUUCUUCAGCUUCCUCAACAAGAUCUCUUUCUUUCUCUCGCUUCUAUCUCUUUCUCCACGACUCACAUACAUUGUUGUCUUUCUCCUUGUACCCCAUCGCCUUCAACUUUAUAAACAAAAAGUAAACAAUAUUAUGGCAAUGUCUGGUUCAUCAAGGUCUUUCGCUGGAGUUUUGCUCGCUUUCACUCUCAUUUUCGUUAUUUUCUCGCCCUCUGUUCAGGCCCAGGCUCCUGCUCCUGCUCCUGCCAGCGAUGGUAAGCUUACUCGUUUUUGCUUUAGCUCUUGCUUUAUAUAUUUGCUUCUUUAGAUCUCUUUCUGCUUUUCUAUUCUAUUUUUCCUUUCACUUUCUCUGUAUUUGGUUUCAUAGAUCUGAAAUCCUGAAAGCCAUUUUCGUUUUCGUUUCAGUUUAAUGGCAUUCUUCUCCUCUUCUGCCUCUUCAUUUCUGAUCCUGUAAUGUAAUAUAGAUGUAAUUGAUUAUAAAUUGUAUGUUACAGGAACUUCUAUCGAUCAAGGAAUUGCAUACGUGUUGAUGCUGGUGGCUUUGGUUCUCACAUACCUCAUUCAUCCACUGGAUGCUUCCUCCUCUUACGGUUUCUUUUGAAUUUGCUUGCACUGUAGGACUUUAGAAAGAUGGAUUUGAUUAUUUUUAAUAGUACUGUAAUUAAUAUGAGUGUCGAACGGGAAUCUGUUGUCUGCUGUGGAUAAUUGGCAUUUAUUUUCAAGGAUUGGAUUGUCAUGUUGUGGUUGAUUACUCAUUACUUGUAGUUUUUAUUUCUGUUUCCUGCUCAUUUUUCCAAUCCUUAUGAAUGGUCACUAAGUUUGGGUUCCAAUUUUCCUUUUUUUUAUUUUUUUUAUAGCUGUAGUUUGGUGUCUUUGAGUUAUGCAAAUGCAACUAGCUUCUUUUAGAGAGUUGAUGAAGUCAUGAAGAGGGAAUUGCUUGAUUGUUGAUAAGGAUCUAGCUUCAUUUUUCACUUUUUUGCGGGAACUACAAAUUUUCAGCAGAAUAAUGCCAUGUGAUGCGCCAGCUUUUGUGGUGAGGAGAGGCUGAUGCGAAAAUAAAGAUCAAAGGAGGGAAAAAACAAAUCUAAAUUAUCAAUUUUUUUUUUUGGGUGAAUGUGGAACUGACCACUGCAUUGUUCAAAGUGAUUUCCGGAUCUUAAGUCACUUUCCUUUGGAAUAUGACAUUUCUCAGCAAGCCUAGCCCAAAUAAAAAAAAAAAUAAAAAAGAAAAACGAGCGUGGGUAAUCUCACUGCCCAAUUUGCUCUAAUUUAUUUCCUGGACCAAGAUUACUCCUAGCUUUCCUUCAUCUCGACUCGGUUACUUCGGAAUUUUCCUCUUUGAAGUGAAUUACGUCAUGGUUCGAAAGUUGUUCAAAAAGAAAAAUUAGGAGAAAUCUGAUUUUGAAAAUAUUGGCAUCUUGAGGGUGAAACAAGAACAUAACAAAUUUUACAGCCUAAAAAAUUACGACAUUUAAAAAAAAAUAAUAAAAAAUCUAUUUUGAACGAUAUAAAAGCUGCAUUGCAAAUUAUAACUUCAAAAUGGGCAGAAAAGAAAGAGGAAAAAAUCAUGACACCUCUGGGUAAGACGGAAAGAAUUUGAAUUAUGAAAGAAACAUUAAAAAAGGGGAUUUGUUAUUUGUCGAAAUAUUUACAAUUUCACAGAUAAUGCCUUUAACCAAAUUCACCAGAAUGGCAGGAACAUCACCACCAUUCUUAUGCCUUUUUGACAAACAGAAUGAAAUCAGAAAUAUAUCUCUUUUAAUUAGUAGCACGGUGGUGUUGAUGAUGAUGUAGCGUAUAUUUGACAACUUCAUAAAAGGAAACAACUAUUCCAACAGAAGGGCCGGCACGAGCCACACGGGGACCUAUUCCUGCAAACAAUCCUUUCAUCCCCCCACCCCUGUUCCACAUGGAAGUUAGUCCAAAGAGAAACAAACAGUUGGCAAAAUAAAGAAGAAGAGUUAAGAGCUUUCCUAAUUUGGCUUUUGAAUGUAUCAGUCCAUGAACUAGCACGACAAAUCAGGCAACCACAAGUCAUUGACACUUGCAUAUAUGAUAACAAUAUGGCCCUCAAUUUCAAAUACAUAAACAGUUAUCUUCAAUGUAUUCUAUUCACGUGUAUGAAUGAAACUUUUAAGAUGUUCGUUGAGUUCUAUUCACAUAAAAAGUAUAAUUAUUGGCAGAGAAACGUUUCAAGAUUGACUACUGUAAAUAUCCACAGACAGCUAACUCACAAUUUUAUAUAUAAUUUCUUAGCAUUAUAAGAUAAAAAGAGAGGGGAAAGAAAAAUAACCGGUAUGGAGAAAAACAAGAUGGGUUUCUCUUUUUUUUUUUUUUGAGCCAAAUGUAAAGUAACCGGCAUGCCACAUAUGCGAAAAAUAUUUAAUUGAAACUUUUUUUGUCCGUUAGACAUUUGAUUGAAAAAUUUUUCUGUUUAGACACCAAAAUAGCAAAAAUCGAAAAGUUUAGACACCAAUAAUGUAACGAACCCGAAAAAAAAAAAAGAUGUAUUCCAUAGAAGAUGAAGAAGUAUAGAAUAUAACAUACCUCCAGAUUUCCAGCAAUGUUUGUCUUGUAGUCAUCUUUAAUGCCCUCGUAGGAUCCUUCUAUUUGUACAAACAGAAUAAAUGGUAAAUCAUAACGGUAACAACCUAAAAGUUUAACUCAGGCAACUAAAUAAUAUUUGGAAAUCAAUCCAUGCUUUAUAUGAUCCAGAGUUCCUUUCACUUUUUUCCUUAAUUUUUUCCCCAAUUUCUCAAUUUUAUCCAAAAGACACAACUUUUAUCAUUUUUUCUGUCAGAAGUACUAAAUUGAAGCCCAUGCCACUGCAACUCAUUCUAAAUAUAUGCUGAAUCAUCUAUUACAACAACCAAAUAUUGGAUUAUCAACUUAAGAGUUUUAACUGCGAAGAAUUUUUAUUAUUUUCUCCAUUUAUAAGCAGAUAAGAUCGAAUAUCAGAAUAACUAAGAUUUCAAGAACCCAUAUCUAUAUUGGUAGUUCUGAUCAAAACACACGCCCCUCCUCCUCUAAUUAUCCUUCUUAUUCUUAUGUAUCUACGUAAUAUGUUCAUGUUGUAAUUUUCGUCUUUUAAUUUAUUUUAAACUUCUAUUAGCAGGAAAGGCAGGUCAUAAACAUCUGCACUAAAAUUUAGGGCAUUUUAGAGUACUACCUCUAUCUGCCUUCUGGUCCUUGCAACAUCUAAUGGACAUGUAACAGCAGCUGCAAGACUUCCUGCAAAAAAACCAGCAGAAAAGUUUGCCCCAAGGACACUGGCUGCUGUGGCUUCAUCAUCCAUAAGAGCAAGAAUUCCUCUCCUGAUCUGCAGAAAGUGUACAAAAGAAAGCAUCAUCAAAUUCACUGUGUUUUGAAAAUAAAGGUCUAUUUUUCAGAGAAUGUAAACCCACAGGCUCUAGGGUUGACCAGCAGAUUGCAGAGAAUGGAACAUCUCGAGCAAGUUGUGCACCAAGGCCAGUCCAUAAAAUGCGAUAAUUUUGCACUGUCAUUAAUAACAUAUCAGUAGCAAUUCAUGCAUGGAGGAAAUUAAAGAAGUAUACAAAAAAAUAAUUCUUCUCUGUCAAUUACAAUGCCAAGCCAGUACCCAAAUCAGAAUUAAAAGAGAGGUCAAUCACACCAAUCAGGUAACUUACACUUUUGAAGGUUGUUUUUGCUCUUAACUGGGUUGAUCACCUCAAUUAGUGUCUUCCAGACUCCUGGGGGCCUCAUAGCAUUCUGUGUUUCUUUAAAAGCCUAUUAAGAGGAUACUAAAAUGAGAAGAAGUUUGAAAAGAAACUAAUUCUCCAAAACAUAUAUCUCUCUCGAUGCAUGUAGCAAAGAAAUAGCUGAAAAGACUUCAUAAUGCAGGAAGCCAAUCAACAGAGACCAGUCUAAUAAAACUUGGAUACACUGCAAUUUAAAUAAAUGCAUAUAACUUCUCAGGAUCAACCUUCAGUAGACUAGGAUUAGUUGAUUAUUGUAACUCUAUAGAAUUUAAGCCAUCUCUCAAUGCUGCUAAUAGCAAAAUUGUAUGAUACAGUCCUCAAAAAACCAUCUAUUUUAAAAUAAAAAAUACCCUCUAACCACAUUCAUAUCAGAAAGUGCAUCCUCAAGUUAUCUUAGUGAGACCAAAUUCAUUUGAAAACUACAGCAUAUACCACAUGUAUAAAUAAUGAGAGUCACCUUUUGCAGCAGAGGAAGGUUUUUUACAUGGCAAAACACACUAAGAUAAAGUGUUUAGGACCAACUUGCUAAAAAAUGACACUAAUAAGGAUCCAAACAACAAAUCCAAUACCUGCAUACGAGUCCUUGCCAACUCCACAGGGUAACAAGUGACACAAGCUAAUGAUCGCGCAACUGAUCCUGCAACUAAUGGCACAUAUGGUGUCAAAACGGGAGCAUUCCGAGUUGUAAAAUCUUCCAUUAAAUCCCGGAAAAUGUCAUAACAAGACAAGUAGAUCCCCACCUGGUUGACAAUAAGGAACAAACAUAAGCAAAAAAUAUAAAAGAUGUUAACUACCUUGCAAUGCUAAUAGGCAUCCACUCUUUCAUGAGAACAAACCACAAUUGCAAAAAAGAAAAUAAUUUUUUUAACCACAAACAAAAAGGAACAUAAUUUUUUAACAGACUUACAGUUGGCACAGCCAAUGCUAAGCUUGCAUUUGUGCCUCUCCAGAGUCUUCCAAAUCCUUCCUGCACAAAUUCACCACUGUAAAGCCUUUGAAUAAGUAUACAAACACCACAAUUGAACAAUAUCAGAAAAAAUGCAGCAUCCACGCUAAAAGCCUACUAUCAUGGCAACAAAUAAGUUUAAUGCUUGCAGUGGAAUGGCCUAAAUGAACUCAUUUUAAAUACAAAAAUUUAUCUGCAAAAGUAUGUUUCUGAACUUAAAUCUAUGUUUAUUUUGUAAUAUAUUAAUAAUGUGUUACAAACAACUUGGCUCAGCAUUGACACUUUUGUCGUUGCAUUCUAAACAAUCAUACCCAUUAAUAUAAAAAAAUAAAGAAUUGAACUAUAAGAAAUUAAUAAGAAAAAAAAAAUCCUACAAAUCAUAUGCUCCUUGAUAUAACAAUACAUAUUCAAAAGGAUGAGAAAAAUGUAGAAGUGUACACUUCUCCACUCAAUUAGCACGAGGCACUUUACUAGAAGGUUUCUCCUCAGAACAUAGGCGAGCAUUAUAAUUUGAGAUAUCCAUUAAUUAGAAAAAAGCAGUUUGUUUAGCUUCAGUAAAUCCACCAACCUGGCGAGUAACUUUAUAGAAGACAUCCAUUGUUCCCUUAUACCUGUUGCACUCUGAAGUACACAUUGGUUCGGAACCAGAGACCACAUGUUUCAGAUCUGACAGGAUCUGGGUUAAAACCCAAAAGCAACAGCAGUCAGAAUGAAAUAAAAGCGCUGCAUUGAGAAAGAUCAUAUCAUACAAAAGAUUCUUCAAGUUCCUUUCUUUCUUCAUAAAAAUGCAGAUAACAAUCAGUCCUGUGUCACUAAUUUUACUAGCAGUAGGCGUACCAUAUCUGUCCGCGAACAUUCUGUUCCACAUAAUCCCUGAUUAGGAACUCCAGCAGCCUGUGCUUGCAACCUUGUCUGCAGGUAGGGCAAUGGAAGUGUAGAGAUUUCAUUACUUACAGCUAUUACAAAUGACUCAACAUUAACAACACUCGUUAUAUAAACUAAUAAAGGCUUGCAAAGUUUUGACAAAUUUCAAAUAGAAGUUAAGGCAGCCUUCAGGCUAACUAUGACAUCUAAGUAUAAAAAGCAUAUGCUCAGAUAGCAGAUGCUCGACAAAUAUAAUUGAGGCCAUUUUAAUUCUAAAGCAUUUUCAUUUCCUUUCUACAAAGGAAAUGUCAGAACGAGACAACAAGCAAGAAAACAGGAAUAACGCAUGCAAGGCAUCUUGAAAAGUAAAAUACAAAUUGAAUAAAGAUUGAAAGUUGAAAGAAAAUUUCGAGCAAGUUAUAACAUUACCUUGGCGACAUCUAAAGGGUUAACAAUAAUGGCGGAGACAAAAGCGGCACCAGCCGCAGACAAGGCUCUCUCCGCAAAACCUAAAUUGGCAUCCGGUGACACCGUUUUGGAGUCAUCCCUAUUAUUAGCAUCUUUAGAAGUAAACAUGGUCUCUGAAACAGAAGAAACGUUCCCAUCAAUAUCGACUCUGGAUGCCGCCGCGGCGCUUAUCCAAGAAGGCAGGCUCUGCCUCGACCCUCCCACCAUUUAUCAGUAUUAUAUACAAAUUUCGAAUUCUCUUCGUCUUAAUGUAAGACCUCAUCCGAUUAUUUAUUUAUGGGAUUACCAAGAAGGCAAUCCAUCAUUCAAUUUGCGACCUAAGAGGCCAAGUUUGACACUGCUACUAUCUUUUCCUUUUUUGGUUAUAGAAUUGAGAUUGUUUCCAGAAGAAGAAAAGGCAUAGAAGGGCGUUGGGGUUGUUUUGGUUGAGUUAGUUUCUAGAGGUUUCUAAUUUGCAUGGGAAAUAGGGCUCUACAAGAAGGGAGGGAGAUGAUUCGUGGCGUGGAAAUAAGGGCGCCAAACGGGAGGUUCUCUGUUCUUCCUAUUAGCUUGAGGUGUAUACCUCUCGUACACGUAAGAGAGAGAGAGAGAGAGAUAGAGAGACAUCCAGAGCUAAAAAAAAAAUGGUGGACUUGGACCAAUUGGUUUGAACUUGCAGGCAAAGAACAGGGACAAGACAACCUUCUAAGGUUGGGCUAGUAUUGGGUUUCUGAGAGUAAAAUUUUCAAUAUUGGGCCUACGUUGGGCCUUUAUUGACACUAUUCCAUUUACGCUAGUAUUUUAGUAAUUUUAGUUUUAAUCACUUUUCUUUUUCUGUAUCCUGGUCGGUGAUUUAUAUCUUUACCGAGUGUUUGGUUAGCUAGAAAAUGUAAGAAAAGGAAAAUAUAUGUUAUUUUAAUUUACAGUGAUUAGCCAAUAAAUAUAGGCGAUGAUGUCAAUCACAUCAAGACGCAAGUUUUAAAUUUUUAAUAAAAUCUUAACCGCUGAUCAUUUUGAGUUAAUGGAUUAGUGGGUGAGAUUGCAGAAAACAUAGCAAAUCAUGUCUAUUACAAUUGAAGAUGAAAAUUUAACAUUCUUGAACGAGAUUCAAUAUUAAUGCACAAAAGAAUCUGAAACUGUAUAGGAAGCUCCUCAAGAAACACUUAGCAAUGAGAAUGAAGCAAUCAAUCAAUUAACAUACAUAUAUUCAACAGAAAACUUUAUAUUACCAGAUCACCCUCUUCCAUAAAAGACAUCCAGAGGACUAGUUGAAAGGGAAGGUAUAACUACUGUUGAUGAUUUUUCCACAAAAGAAACAACUUUCCUUUGAGGAUUACUGCAAUAUUGUUGCUUUGCAUGACAAAGCCUAACCGUAGAUGAAAUGCUUGCUGAAAUUACAGCCAAUUUCACAGCCACCAUAAAUGCCUUAUUCUGCCAUUUCCAUGGCUCGAACAACAUUCUAAUACAACAAAUGAUGAACUGGCCGGUUCUCCUCCUCUUCAGUUUAUUAUUAUUGUUCACCUUAGAAUCUUCAACUGCCUUGUUCUUUAUCUUGCCAUUCAAUCUCCAGUCAAAAGCAUUCAGCUCUUUAAUUGCAUCGUCCGAUCUUCCUUUAUAUUCUUUCACUUUUUCUCUAAGAAUUGUUCUGCUUUCUUCUAAGCGAUUAAACGCUGCAUGCCUAUCGAUUAGCUGCCAAGAUCUUAAUCGCUGCACAAUUAAAGAUCAAUAUAUCUUUAUUAACACAAUGUGGAUGCGUUGGAAUCCAACAAAUUAACAUAACUGUUGCAAUUUCAGAAUCCAGAAAGUAAGAAUUAUAGGCAGCUCCAGAUGCAAAAUCAAAAAUCUAAUCUAAUUGACAGAAAAGAGAAGAAAGCGAGAGAGAGAAAGUAAUUAAUGAUGUAAGUGUACCUGUAAGAAGACAAGCAGGUCACGAACUUGCUUUAGUGAAUCUCUAAUGGAAAUCAAUUUGUCUCUGUCCUCAAAUGAUGUAUCUGCAAAAUCACCGAAACGGCCAUUUUGCGCACACAAAUUGCAUAAGCUGUUACUGUUUUUGAUUUCGCGAGAAAGGCCAUCAAGUAAAGCCGACGCUCGAUCAAUGAGAGACUGGAGGUCCCCCUUCAACUCCAUCAAAAACUACACCAAUCCAAAAUUCAUUUCAACUUUUCAGAGUUUGUCAGUUGUUCCCAUUUUUUUGGCCAUGGAAUGGAAUUUGUAGUUGGUGUAUAUGGUAAUGGAAUGGAGGGGUAGGGCUCUUUCUAUUUGAUGGAUUGCAUGUGGUAGUUCACCAAAACAAAUCAUUUUCUCCGUCUUCCUUCCUCUUUUUAUUUCUAAAAUUUUGUGUGGGGUUUGCUUUGAAGGGAAGUUGUGCUAAAAGCCUUGGCUGUUCAUGUAUUGUUUACAACCCCACACAUCCCCUUUCUCACAUGCAUCGUGUAUGUCAAGGCAUGUCUUCACCAUUACAAGGUUUCCACUUUCCUCUCCAUUUCUUAAUCUAAUUUUAUGAAAAUUAAAAAUAAAAUGACUAACUACAUAAUAAACUCAAAUUUUCUCAGCUUUUUUUUUUUUUUUUUAAUUUGGCUUUAACAACAAUUUCAACUCGAAGCACUGUUGAUUUGGAGCAUGUGAAACGCAGAGACAGAGAGAAUCGCUUUAAUCUUAGUUGAGAAUGUUACAUACAGCCUUAUUACAUGAAGCGGAGCGACUUUUUGCAUGAAUUUGAUUUAUGAGGCAUGUUGGUUAGGUCAGAGGUGGUGUUUCAAGUUUCAACUAACUGACCCAACCGCCUGGGCUCCCGGCCCUCUGUCCUUCAACUUGAACACCCAUUAUCAGAAAGAAGGACAAUAAUCAAAUAAAUCUGUUAUGGUGUUAUUAUUAUAAUGCACAGUGAUUGACUCUUUGAUACGCAAACAGAACAACAAAAAGCCGGAUCCCAUUUUAAGCUAGGACAAAGCAUUUUUAAAGCAGUUGGAUUUAUUCGGUACUGACCAUGCUCAAUUCAGUUACUAUCCUAAAUUUUGACCCCAAACACACACAGUACUAACCAGGUUGGCACCUGAGUGGGGCAAGGACCCACGAAUCAGAUCUGAACAAGACAAUUUUAAAAGCAUAGAAGAGAAGAAAUGCACCAGAUUCAUCACCCUCAACCUCACUGUCUUAUCAUCAAAAUUUUCUUCACUCCCACUGUGUCGGUAGGUGAAGUGAAGCUUAUUCAUGGGUCUCCCGUCUUUGGUUUACUAAUUGGAGACAUCCAAAUUUUUUCACACGAUCUCAAUGAUGCCUUCAAUUACUUGUAUAUUUUCCACGGAUAGUAGAGUGAAAGUUAACAGAAAGUUGAAUCAUCAGAACUGGACUGGACUAUAUUUUAACUUUGAUAAAUUCUAUAUGUAACUGUAAGGAUGAUUGGCUAAGAGUUAAUAUCCAAUGGUUUAUCUUUAUUUGUAUAAACAAAUUUCAGAUUACAAUAAUACAAUUCCUGCAUAAAUUACAUUACAAUUAUUUUAGCUUUUCAUUAUUAGAAAAUAAAAAUAAAGAUUUUAUAUAUAGAGCACGUGGGUGGAUGAAGAAAGGACUAACAUCGCCGUAAAGAAAAAGUAGAGCGUGCAUAACGGUUAGUGUACUGUACCAAAUAUCAAAUCAAAUCAAAACAAAUCCUGAUUUUCUUUUUUAUUUUUUUUUAUUUUUUUACCAAUCUUUUUUUUUUUUUUUUUUUUUUUUUUUUCUGCGGCUACGGUUCGCAGUAUAAUUUUAAAUUCCGUGUUGUGAUUCAUGAAUUAAGUAUCUCAUAGCGAUGAAUGCUCAAUUGGACUUUAACCAUAAAAUAAAAACAAAGCUGAGCCCUUGAAGAUUCAAGUCUACUUCAUUAGAAGUAUGCUGUCUAGACCCUGCACUAGUAAUAAUAUGAAUUUUUUUUUUUUUAAGUAAAAUGCAUGGAUUUACAAUUAAGGGUGUAUUUCACCAAGUUAGAAUAUUUGAUAGACACUGCUACAAAGGAAGACAAAAAAAAAAAAAAAAAAAAAAAAAAAAAAAGAAAUGGAAACGGAUUUGGCAUAUGUUGAAAGCCACAGCUGUAACAUGAUUAGGUCUUUCACAAAGGUACGACUACCUAGCACAUAAUUUAAUACUUAUGUAAGACCAAAAUAUGGGAUAUGCAAUGCAAAAUAAUAUAUAUAUUUAUAUAAAUUAAAAAUAAGAAACCAUUAAGUUACGCAGAAGAAAGAAGAAACCAAAACGCGUUGCUAUUUUUCUUGAUAGAGCAUCGAGAAAAGCAGAGAUGGGGACCAAACACAAAAACAAACACAAACACAGACACUGCAAAUACAAAGGAGGGCCUGCCUUUGUCAUUGUUUACUAUACCCAUACAUAUACAUACAUUCCAAUUGGGGUAAAAAAAAGAUUUCAACUUCAAUUUAUGCAAGUGGGUCUCUGAUUUUGAACAUCUUUUAGAUCUGUUUUCAGGCUUGCAACUUGCAAGUGGCUGACUGUUAAUUUUUUUGAAACUUCUCCUUCACAAUGCCCCCUCUCUCUAUAUCUAUAAUAAAAGCCUGCGGUGACAAAAUAAUCACCUAACCUAACCUUUUUAUAAAAUCUUUGACCAAUAGGUACAGUAAAAAAGACAUAUCUGUCUGUCUCAGUCUCUCUCUCUCUCUCUCUCUUCUGGCCGGAGAUUCAAGAAAGCACGCCGGGGUUUCACCUUAAAGGCAAACUGGCAUGUCAUGUGUUGGAAUUUCUAGAAAGGCAAGGCAUGGUCUUCCAGUCUAGGCACCCACCACCCUAAUAGCCUCCCUUUCCAAGAUGUGUUUACUAUGUGUAAGACUUUUUAUUCUGCGUCUGGUUUCUUGUGCCCAAAUAUAAACCAAGAAAACAAAAACAAAACAUUUCCCAUCACAAGAAAAAGCCCCACAGUCGCAAACCCAAGUUUUUGCUUAAUGGUCUUUUGACUCUUUCUCCUGUAUCCCACUUGCCCAAUUUUAGUGGACCAAAUCCAUUAGUACUCUGUUCGCUUCAUUAGUCCAAACCUUCAUUAAACCUUAAACCCUCCAUUAUAAUCACUCAAAUCUCUCAAACUGAGCUAUAUACACAUCUUUUACACAAGAAACAUUAGAUAAGGGAUUUUACUUAGAGUCCUGGCUUGAAAAAGAAUGGCUAACAAAACGCAGAAAGAGCGUAUGGUCAUCAAGUGCCCAAGGUGGCCAACCGUUGAACAUGAAUCACUUUUUUAAGCCACUUGGCAUAGGCAGGGACCCCCUUUUGAGUCCCCGCGCCAUUGCUAGCCAAAAAUAUCUUAUGAUAAAUCACAAAACCCCUCCAUUUCUCUAUUUCCUUACACUAGAAAAACAAACAAUUCAUUUUUAUUUCAUGAAAAACUUAAAUAAUGCAAU